GCCCGUCUGCCCCCUCCGACUAAUCCUUUGGUCGUUCGUAAUGUGGUUCUCGCGACAGCGUUAGCCCUGGAUUGCAUCAAUGCAAACCCGAAAUGUCGACCAACAAUGCAGCAAGUGGUGAACCGAUUUGAAGAGGGCAGGCGAGAACCAACUAGGCCUUUGCACACCAUUGCUGUGAAUCAGCUUGUUAGUCCACCAGUACUUUCACUGCGUGACCAAACCUGCGCAGAUGGGACGAGUAGCUUAAGCACCAUAAAUGAAUUCCAUGUGGAUGUCUCUGCGACUCUGCCAUCAUCCAAUUUUUCUGUCCAUGCUUCUACCUAAACAACUUUGACAUUUGGUAGGAAACAGAAUAAGAUCGUGCUUUGCAAAAUGGAAACUUGGCCAAGCACUUAGAUUGCUGCUACAUACUGCCAUUUGGUGUGCUAAUGACAAAAAAAGGUGUGCUAAUUAAUGAAGAAGUAGUUUAAGCACCAUGAAUGACUCUCAAGUGGAUAUCUCUGCCAUAUCCAAUUUUUCUAUCGAUGUUUCUACCUACCUAUGAUAUUUAUAGCGAAGGAGAAUUUACUACUUGUCUUUAUUUAUGUAGGUGAAUUCUAGGCAGAGCAACACUUACCAAUCUAACAAUUUGCAAUUCCAAGUCUAGAUUUAAAGAAAUAUUGGUUUAAGGAUUCAAAUAUACAAAACUCAUGCCAAAAAUGAGAUGAUCAGGUCAAUCCAAAGUUGUAUUUAAAAAAAAAUAAAUUUGCAUAAAUUCUAGCUUGCAUAACCUAUAGGGAUAAUUUUAGAAACCUCCCUUGAAAUUUUUGACAAUUGCAGAGACCUCCCCUCAAGUUUAUUAAAUUACACCUACCUCCCUUGCUUUUACUAUUUAUGUAACAAUAUAGGCCCAAAAGACUAUAUUUUUUCUCAAAAAUUCUAAACUACCCUUUUUGUACAAAAAUAAAACAAAAAUUAUGUUGCCAAUUGCUUUCUUUCAUAUUUCAACCAAACCCAGUGUACUAACAAACUAACCUAACAAAUAGUCUAAUUCCAAAUUCUAAACCCAAGUAAUUCCAUCAUCAUAGUCAUACAAUUACUUCUCCUAAAGCAUGCAUUCAAUUUUGAAGAUUCGUUCCAUUUUUCAAAAAUAUUCUCACCAUAUGGUUAUGACAAGUGCCAAACCUGUGCAAUAAUAAUUAUUAAAAAGUCCUAAUUACUACCACAAUUAAUUAUAGAACAAAUCCAAGUACUGGAGCAGGGAACCUAGGUGUGCAAUGGGUUACUUGAUUCACCCUAUUCCCGAAGAGUUUGCUUGAUCCGAUAUACCAGAUUUGUCUAUAAAAAUAUUAACUUUGCGUACAAUGGCAAGUAGGGUCGAUUCCACAGGGAGCGGGUAGGAAAUUAUUCUUUCCAAAUUAGUAGAACGGAAUUGGGGGAUUUUCAAUGGGAGGCAAAUAAAAAUGAAAUAAAACAACAAAAUUCAAAACUAACUCACAAAGCACAAAUUUACUAAAAAUAGCAAUUAAUAGAAGUUCUACCCAAAGGAUCAACUGCUCAGGCACGGUCCAAUUAAAUGAUCAUUGAUGCAAAGAUAUUUCACCCAUUCAUCACUAGGUUGGUUAUAGUUGUCAACAAGGUCUGACAACCAGUUCUUCCUUACUUUCUCGACAGUCAAGGUACGACCAUUGACUGCUUCUCUAACCAGAUAACAACCCUAGGUACGACCAUAGGAAUUUAAUUACCCAAUUGCAUUAAAGGUAGAAGAACCCAACCCUAACUAAUAAACACGCUAAGAGGGUUUAUUUAAAUUAGAUCUUACGUUUCCCCAACAUAAAGCCAAUUAUGGUGGUUGUCACUAGGUAUCAACUAAACGAACAAUUACGGAUUCAAUUUAGUUAAUGUGACAGUAGGCUAUUAAAUUAAAUCAAAUACCCGGCCGUUGAUAUUUAAUUAAUAAAAUACCCAUGAACAAUUAAUUCAGGAAACGCACGAAUAGUAAUAAUUUGGAAGAAAUAAAGAAGAUUCGAUUAGAUCUCACAGACAUUGUGGAUCGCGCCUUCGCGUCGACCUUUGGGUGGAGGAGAAAGCUAGCCGCUCCUCAUCGUGUCAAUCCCGCGUGAUUUAAUUGAAUUCAUUCAAUUAAUUUCUGAAGAAUUGGAAAGGUGAAACAACGAAGGAACAGUUCUUCGUAUUUUGCGUCUACGCUCGAGCCGCCAGCACAAGGGAAAUCUCACGAAAUUUAGAAGAGUCAAAAGUGAAAAGUGAAAAGGGUCUCGAUUGUACAGAGCCCAGAUGCAAUACGAAAAAUCUCCAAUGUCUGACCGCUAGCCGAAGAAGAAACAAAAGCAAAGAAAAGUGUCUAGCCAAAAAUUGCAAAAAGUAAAACUAAAGCUAAAAGAAGUGAUCCCCCCGAAUCUUGCUUUUUCCUCCUUUUUAUAGCCGCCGUCAGUAGUAUUCCUCCCAGGAAGAGGCUUUUGCCUAAGGGGCGCUGAUCCCACGCUUCAGGUUCACGUGGACCGGGGUCCGUCUUUUCGGUAGCAUCUACCUUUUCUGGCGUGGCCACGCCCUGAGAUGAAAGGUCUUCUGGAAAUUUACCUCAAGAUAUCAUUUUUAAUGCUAACCACCUACAAUUCACACAAACAUCAAAUAUGAGUGAAAUUCCAUUUCUUAACACCAUGAAUAGCCAAAAUUAGGACAAGAUGACAAUGCAAAAUAUUCCAAAUAACUGCUCUAUCAGGUUAUAUGGAAUGGUCAAAUUCACAAUCAACUGCCUUAUGUUUGCAUAAUUUUCAACAUAGAAUGCCAUGGUUUGGUUCCAUGUAAGUGGUUUAACUCCUACUACAUGAGUCACAUUUUGGUCUUGAAGAAAAUCCUUAGGGAAGGUUUAGGCAUGGAUGGAAUUAAUCAAGUUUAAGAAAAGGAAAGGCAUCAUUAUGACUAUAGAGAUUUUCAAGAAAUUCAUUUUGCCAAAAAUCAAAAUUCUAUUUCCAAUUAAUCACCCCACAAACUUGAAACCCAAUGCCCACACCUUCUCAAAACAAAAUAAUUUAGCAUACUAUUAAAUCCCCAAACAUGUUAACAUUUUAAAUACAGAGAAGAAACUCUAUCUCCAUAACGAAACCACAACCAACAAUUGUCAAGAAUAAAAAGAAAGACAUCAUAAAAAGUUUUUUGGAUGGAUGAUAGAUAAGUUAGCAAAUUUAUCAAUUUCAAUCCCUCUUCCUCUUUUCGCCAAUGAUUGCAUUAUUUGUUCCAUUAUUAUUGUGUGUCUCUUCAUUUCCUUUUAAUUUGACCAUUUACUUCAAUCAUCAAAUCUAAUCUCUCAACUAAACUUGUGAUUUGACAUUUUUAAAGAGAAGAAAAGAGGAAUAGAAAUAUAUAAUAGAGUUUGAGGGAUCACUUGUGGUAUGAUUGGCUGCAAUUAUAGGCAAUGGUUGGUGGUAAUUUGAGAGCGAAUUAUUGGAAGAAAGGGUUGAUGGAUGAAAAUAGAAUGAUAAUAAGCGAGAGAAUCGUCGUUAGCUGUAACUUGUAAACAGGAUAGCAAAAAAGGUUAAGUUUCUUUUUCUUUUUUUUUUUUAAAUCUCAUUUCAUUAUACUAUGAAUUAUUUAUUAAGUGAAGGUCAUUAUAGUCAUAUUAUUGAGACAAGGGAGGUUAGUGUAAUUUGUAAAAAAACGAGAGGAGCCGAGUGAAAUUGUCAUAAACCUCAAGGGAGGUUUGUGAAAUUAUCCCUAACCUAUAACCAAAUUUAAAAUUCGAACUCUAAAUAUGUAGCAUGCAUUUGCCUUUACUAGUUAAAAGAGAAAAAGGGAUUUCACACUUAAGAAAUUAUUGAAACAUAAAUGAUGCAAACUUUCUUUUAAAAUAAUUUUUUAAUAUAAAUGUGCGAGUUUUUAUCAAUCUCUAGUUUGCCAAAUAAACAUAGAAUGAUUUUCAAUACGAAUUUAUUAUAUCACCUAUUAGUUUUAAUUCACUAAACUCAACCGCAAAAAAGAAAAAACAUAAACAGCAAUUUUCGAAAUGUGGAACCUAUAUUCAGCGGGCUACUAUUUUGGUGCUUAUGACCCCAUAAGUCGAUUGCUGCGAUUUUUUGCUUCCUCCUAGGAAGCCCCAAAAGAAGAAAAAAAAAAUGAGUUUCCCGGUUGCUCAUCAAUUGAGGAAAACGCUGGUGAUUCCUUUUUUUUUUUUUUUUUUUUUUUUUUUUUUUUUUUGAGGAAAAGGCUGGUGAUUCCUUAUUGCUUCCUGGAUUUUUAACCUAAAGUGUAUAAUAGCUUGAGAAAACGUUGUACUAUUAAAAGAAAUUCUGGACCACAUCAAGUACCCCAUAGUAUCCAAGUAAACAGCGAGUUGAUACGUGCAAGGAGGCAGGGGCGGUGGCUGUUGGGUUGGAGUGGAGUGGACAUUUGCGUUGGGUUAGUGGGCUUAAGUUGUUUACAGAAUGGUUGGUAAAAAAAAAAACUAUGGUUGGGUUUACAGAUGGUUGAUGAUAGUGUUAUACCCAGUAUUCCUGGUACGCAUUCAGAAUCUGCUUCUAAGAGUAGAACUGAUAAUUUGAGUAAUCUUGACCUUUCUUGAUAUGUGAACCAAGGAAUGCCUCUGCCUGGAUGUAUUGUUCACCAAGAAACCUAGUCUCAUGUUUCUGGCAGAUUGGAUGAUCAAAAUGGUUCUUGCAAAUAUACUUUUGGAAGAAAUUGGUGGCCACCUUCUGGUUCGUUUGCCGCCAACCAUCCAGUUUGACCUGCUUAUGGAAGAAGUUGGAGGCCAUGAUAAUUGAAUGCAGGAUCUGUAAACUGCUGUAAUGUAUAUAUUGCUCCUCAUAGUCGAAAUAGUGAUGCCUGCCUGCUGACAAAUUGACCAUAUUAGCUUUUGGAAUUUGAAUCUUGCGAGUCUGGAUUCUUUUCUGGUUGCUUGCAAGCUUCUUAACAUACAUUGCAGGAUUAUACUUCUUGUACAUGUAAAAAUUUUCAGGAGGUGCGAAAAAAGGCACUCGAGUUAUAAUUCUAUUUUAUAACAAAAAAUGCAAAAAUAAAUAAACAAUUAUUAUGUAGUUAGCCAAUUUGGCUUUUCUUUUCUUAGCUAGCUAUGUGUUCCAAAGCAAACAUUCUGGUAUAAAAAGCUAUAUGUGCAAGUAUUGCGCAUGAAUGGAAAUAUAGAAACAUAUUAGUAGAGGGCUAAUAGAAAGUUAAGUUAUGGUAUAGAUGUUAUGCACUUAUUAGGUUAGAUCCCAUCUCCCUUUAAUUUUUUUAUUAUUAGAAAAUGAUAAACAGUAUUAGCAGAUGUAGUUUUGUAAGUUCCAUAGAAAACCUUAGGGCUUCACACUGUUAUAAUUUUGUUAAAUUUUUGGACAAUUUUGCUCUCCCUUUACUCCCAUGACGGUGAAGUUUUACAAUUUUUCUUCCUAUCCAUCCCUUCACCCAUGAUCCGAUAUCACUACUCCAAAACCCAAACAUCCAAUACCAAUGCGAAUGCUUCACACUUUGGUAAAACUCUGGCAAAGGUAUCAGAGUUUCCAAACUUUGAACUCGAGCCAGGUGGUUUCAAUUGCUUCCUCAUUUCUGGCUUGAGAUUAGAUGAUCAAGCUAUACACAGUACACACCAAUUCUUAAAGAGCUUGGUACUCGAAGAAAUUCCGGAGAAGUUGAGAAGCAGAAACCAACCAUGAUAGUAAAGUGGGCAAGGGAAAGCCAUGCACACAUGCCCAUUGAUUGUCGACAAACCCUUAGUCAUCAUUUGGUUUUGAUUAGACAAAUAUGAACUCAGCAUUUGUUUCAUGUAAUGAUAGCCAUAAAGGAAUCUUGAAGGCUAGAAAGAUUUCUCGUGACUCUCUCAAAAGAAAGAAAGUUCUGAUGCUUCUUUUCUUUUUGGUCGUAACUUAGGUCAUUCUUGCUUUUAGUCUCCUAAACUGGCAAGCUAAGCCUUAAAUGCUAAAAUUUAUAACUAAUUCUUGUUUUAAAAUCUGCCCUUAGAAUUUAUUUACUCGAUCUUGGGAGGGGCUAAACUCUACAUCCUCCAUCUUAAGUCCGUAUUUGGAACAAUUUCUAAUAUUAAUGCUACAAAUUAUCUUUACUAACAGUACAAGCCAUUAAUGCAUUAAAGAGUACGUGAAUUUAGACUGUAGAGCCGUAGAAGUAUAGAUUUAGAUUUGAGAAGCACAAAGAGAAUAAUAAAUUAGAUUUGAGAAGCAUACGAGGAUGCUGGAGUUUGUUUUUAAACUAAAGUUUAGGAAAAAAAAAUGAAAGAAGAGGACAUGAAACAAAGUUGUUAGAUAUUAAGGGGAAGUUAAGUUUCCUCGGUGGGAAGAAAUUGUUAGAUAAAAGAUAUUUAAUAUUUUUUGUAAUGCCAGAAAGAAGAUGCCAUUUUUGCCUGUCGAACAAACAUCAUGUUAUUGGAGUAGAAAGAGACACUUUUAAACCAAAAUAUUACUGCUAAUUUUCUCCCAUUUCACGGUUCUCAAACAACAGAUAGGAAAGUUCUAAUAUUUCCUCUUUUCUUUUUUAUGGUAACUUAGGUCAUUCUUCCUUCUUUCGUUUUUAAUAACCUAAACUCACAAGCUAACCCUUAUCUGCUAAAAUUUACAAUUAAUUAUUUUGGAUAAAUUACAUUUUACCCCCUAUGAUUUAGCAUUUUUUACAUAACCCCCUAUGAUUUUAAAAAUUAUACAUAACCCCCUCAAGGUUUGGAUUGAAGUGUCAAAGUGACGGAAAUAGUCAUUCGUAACGGAACUUCUAAAAAUAUCGAAAUUACCCUUAUAAAUACAUGACACACUAACCCCCUCAUGGUUUAAUACUUUAUCAUAUAACUCCCUUAUAGUUUAAUACUUUACCAUAUAACCUCCUUAUAGUUUUUAAAAUAUACAUAUAACCCCCCUUGGUUAAUAAAUAAUUUUCAACUUUACAUAAGGAUAUUUUAGAUAUUUUAGAUUACUCCGUUACGAAUGAUCAUUUCCGUCACUUUGACACUUUAAUCCAAACCAUGAGGGGGUUAUGUAUAACUUUUGAAACAAUAGGAGGGUUAUGUAAAAAAAGCUAAACCACGUACAGGGGGUAAAAGUGGAAUUUGCCCAAUUAUUUUUUAAAAGCUGUGCUUAAUAUAUAUACUCCUUAGAAUGGAGAACCAUAAGAGGAUAAUGGAGUAUGUUUUUAAAUUGAAAAAGAAAAGGUUACGAGUAGUUUCCUUUUAAUUGUACCACAUUUGUUGAUUUUUGGCAAACCAUAUCAAUUCAUCAGUUGAAAUUCAAUUAGUAAAAUUCUCUGCUUGUUAAAAGUUCAAAGUAGUAAUGGAAGAUUUCUUGUAUGUAUAGUUUUUUCCCCUCUUGUUGAAGAUUGUCUAUAAUUCUUUUGCUUUAUAUAUAAGAACAGUCACUACAGUUAAUGGCAUUGAUAAGAACAACGUACACUUCAAGUUUGAAGACGGACCUUGACUCUCAAAAGUGGAAUCAACUAAUCCAGACUGCAUUGCGAGUCUUCAAGUUUGAGGGCCAGUGUGUUUAAUGGCAUUUCUAAGAAAUUCCACACAACAAUUCUAGUGGAAAACGGAUCUUUGGCUCUCAAAAGCGGAAUCAGAUCAAUUCCAAGUGCUCUCGUUUAACUCUCCAUAUGUAGUCUUUAAAUCCAGACUAUCUACGGGACUUGAGGCUUUCUGUUCCCUCAGGUAUUGUAAGGCUUGUAGUAUCGGUAAGGUUUUGAUCAUGGUUUGUAGGUUAACCAUGAGUUUAACUUGAAGCCAUGAUACCAAAAGAGAUUGUAGAAUCUCUCACAAUUAUAUCAGCAUAAGUUUACAAUGUGUUAUAGAUUUUCAGAAUAACUAAAUGUCUACAAUGAGUAGACCACUUUAUUCGAUGUUAAAACAAUUUAAAGAGGAAUUAUCUACAAUUUGUUUUUAAUUGCAAUAAUUAAAAGGUCAUCUAAUGGUAUAAACUAACAUAAUGAUUAAAACUAUGCAUAAAAAUUGUAUAAAAGUGCACAAUAAUAAAAAUUAUGCAUUGAGGGCUAGAUGUAUGGUUUCAUAUACGCAAUAGGCAAAUAAUGUAUACACAAUUUAACUAUCAAAUGAACGUUUAGUUAACUUGUAAUUCAUAAGGUUAAGAAAAGUUUAAUGUUAAGUGCAUAAGAUUUGUUAGAAACAAAAUAAAAAUAGCAUUGUGUAACAUAUUUUAUUUUAAUGCUGCAUUGGUGAUAACUGUAUAAAAUUUUAUACUCAAAUGUAUGCAUUCCAAAAGUGUCAAUUUUACAAUUCUUAGUAUAUAAUUAUGUUUUGAUCCACAGUAUUAUUAAAAAGUCUUUCAACACAAUAGAUGUAGUCCCGUUAAAAACGCGGGUUAAGAACUAGCUUAAAUAAAAGUUAAACCAUACAAGAGUAUUUCAUUUGAUAGGUUGGCUAGCCAGUGUCUAAGGGUACGCGUUAUUGAUUAAAAGGGUGUCUCAGCUGUUAAUAUGUUGACAAAAGUAAGUGACUGUGCAUUCAUCUUGUAAAUGCGAUUUAAAUGUUUUAACGAGUUUCGCCAUUCAUUAAAAAUCCUUAAUACAGUCAUCCUUGAGAGUGCAGCUCCCUUUAAAUUAAGAAAAGGAAGAACAAGACCUGGUCAAGAAACAAAAAAGUCUUCCACGUGUUUAAGCCCCGCAGAAAAGUCUUCUAAGAAAUUUUGCACAACAAUUGCAGUGAGCUUGACUCUCAAAUGUGAAAGCAAAUCAAGGCCAGAAAGACCGCGUUACAAGCCUUCCUUGGUCGCCCUAAGACGCAGACAGGAAAGACCUUGACUUUGGGCCAAAAUCUACCAGUUUAGUCGAAGUUGAAUUUAGUAUCUAUACCAGUUAAACGAAUAACCGUGUAAUUAAAUUGUCUAAAUUUUGUCAAGAAAAGAAUUAUUGACAAAAUAUCAAGAAAAGAAUUGCAUUUCGUGUUGCACAUUUUAAUUAAUUAUACUAACAAACAUUUAACUGUACACUUGUUGCCUUAGGUAUGCUAAAUCAUUACAGUUUAAACUCAAAUUAGUGUCUUAAUUAGUGUUCACAUGUACGCAAAUGCCAUGAACAAAGAUAUUUCAUGAAUUUGAUUGCCCAUAGAAGGCAAAAGAGAUUGAAAAAAAAAAAGGUUGCAUACCGGUAUUGAAUUACUGGCAUCAAAAUGUACUUUUAAGACCUGAAUAUUGCUCCCUUUCUGAGAUACAAUUAGAUACAAUUUGAUUUUUUUUAGAAAUCUGUCCUUAGAAUUUAUAAUUUACUCUUUAGCACAAAGAGCAAUAAUUAGAUUCGACAACCAUGUGAAGAUGAUGGAGUCUGUUUUUAAAAUUUUUUUUUUCAAAAAAAAAAAAAAAGGUUGUGACAGGUUGUCGAAGCCUGUGCAAUAAUAAAACCUGCUCAAACUAAAAGUGAUUUCUGUAGAUAGCGGUGAGCAGGGUCGAAUCCACAGGGACUGGGAGUAAUUAUUUCUUUUCAAGUUCACAGUGACAAGGGGGGUGUUUUUGUGCAGAAGGUGACAAUCAAAGAAAUUCAAAUAAAAUCUAAGAAACUACUAAAAAUUAAAUAACAAAUUACUAAAAUCUAAUGAGUGAUAAUUAAGGAUCUAGCCAAGGAAAAACUUCAGCAAUGGUUCACCUAAUUGAUCAUCGAUGCAAAGCCAAUUCCAAUUAUUUAUCAAUAAAUAGGUUAUAACUACUAAACAAGCGAUGGCAGCCAACCCCUCCUUACUGUGUCGGUGAUCAAGGUACGCCCGUUAAUCACUGCUCUAAUUGAGAAAUAAUCCUAGGUACGCCCGUAGAAUUUAAUUCCCCAAUUGCCUUACGUAUUAGAGGAGCCCUAUUCUAACCAAAUAACGCACUACCAGGGUUAUUUUAGAUUAGCCCGCGUAUUCCCCUGACACAAACCUAAUCAUGCCAGUUGUCACUAUUUUAGAGCAAUUAAACAAUUACGGAUUUAAUGCCCUAAUUGACAAUAGAUUAUCCAAUCAACUAAUUAUCUGGAUCCAAGACAAUUAAUUAAUUAAAUAAUCAUAAGCAUAGCAAUCAAGAAAUAUGCGAAUACCAAUAAAUAAAAGAAAAAGAUAAAAUUAGAUCGAUCUCACAAUUUUAGAUGACCCAAAGCAUCCGUUGUCCCUUGACUAGACAAAGGGAAUUAGUUCAUUUUCCGUGAACAAAUCCCACAGGAAAGUGAAGAAACGAUCCCAACCAUUAUUCUUGUUCACGAGACUUCACCUUGACCGACUGAAUAAAGAAAAGCUUGGAAAACAAUGAUUGAUUCAAUUCUUCAAAGAGUCCCUGUCAUGCGUGGACUGAAGCUUCCUAAGAGACAAAAGAAAGGUCAAAGCUCUCUAAGAAAGCUCCUCACCUACGUGAACUGGAGCUAAAGCUAAACACUAGUCUAACUACUACGCUACAGGACGAAAAGAGAAAAAGGUAAUGCCCUCUCUCUGCAAUUACAAUUUGCCUGUUCUAAUCCUUCGCUCUCCUGUGCGGCGGCUCCCCUUCCGGAGAGGAAGAAGAAGACCCCUGACUUCAGCCCUUCGUUCCUCUUUUUAAUGCUUUUGUCUUCGGCAAUUACUAAAAUGGGCACAAGUUUGCCUUUGCCAACAAUGCCCCUGGGAUAAGCUCUGUGCCUUAGACUUCUUUUCUAUCAAAUUGGCACUUGUUAUCAUAUUUUCGUUCUACUCCCUGAAAUAUAUGCCAAACACUAAAAAUGAGUAGAAUCCAGCAAUUAAUCCACAUCGGGUCAGGUAAUAGGGAAAAUUAAUAAUAAAAUAAAUGAUAAAAUUACACCCUAUCAGGUUGCGAAUAAUUUCUUUCCGAUUGAACCGCUUUUGGCAAAGGUUACCAAAUCUAGCUCUGAUUUUUUCUCAAAAGUGGAAUCAACUCAGGACCACAAAUGCUGCUGACUGCUCUGCAUUAAUUGCGAGUCUUCCAAAUUAAAAUGCUUUUAACAAUCCGUGUGAAUGAUGCAGAUUGGAAAGAUACUAUUUUAAGCGCGAGUUUUUCAAUCCUGACUACUUACUCAAGGCGGGCGCUUACAUUUCAUCUAUCUUAUCUUAAUUACCCUCUUUCAUGGUCAAUUACGGUCCCACUACUUAAAUUAUUUUUUAUUUAGGAGUCCAAUUCUAUCUGUCUUAUCUUAAUUACGGUCUUUCAUGGUUAAUUACGGUCCCACUACUUAAAUUGUUUUUUAUUUAGUAGAAUCGUAUACCUGUUAGGAGUCCAAUUCUAUCUUACAUUUCAUCUAUCUUAUCUUAGUUACGUUCUUUCAUGGUAAUAGAGCAUCGAUGGAUGUUGUAUGCAGCGGAGUUGUUCUUCUCAUGAUACUGGCUAUUGCACCAGUUGCAGUAGCAGCAGCAAAGGAGUCUGCCGUGAAUUUAUUGGAAGCUGAAGCAUUGCUCAAGAGUGGCUGGUGGCGAGGCAGUACUACUGCAACAAACGUCUCUGCCCAUUGCCAUUGGAAUGGUAUCGUUUGCAACGAUGCUGGUAGCGUUACCGAAAUACUACUUCCGGGCAGCGGAAUUUACGAUGAGUUGACAAAUUUCAGCUUCUCUUCUUUUCCGAACCUGGUUAGACUAGAUCUCAGCGAGAAUAAACUUCACGGCGCCAUCCCACAUCAAAUAGGUGCACUCUCCAAACUCACCCAUCUCAAUUUGUCUUUCAACAGAUUUGAAGGUGAGCUUCCCGUCUUCUCUAGUAAACCUUACGCAACUAGCACAGCUCGAUGUUUCUUGGAAUUCGAUUGACAGCUUAAUUCCUCCGGGUAUCGGAAACUUGACAAACUUGGUUGCUCUAGACUUGAGCCACGAUUUUUUUUUUGGUCCAAUCCCUCCAACUCUUGGCCACUUGUCCAAAUUAGCCUCUCUCGAUCUCAGUGGCAAUGGACUUAAGGAAGACAUCCCACAUCAAAUAGGUACACUUUUCAAACUCACCUAUCUCAAUUUGUCGAAUAAUUUUAUCGAAGGCUUUAUUCCCUCCUCCAUCGCAAACUUGACAAAUUUGGUUACUCUAGACCUGAACAACAAUUCUUUUUUUGGUCCCAUCCCAUCCAUCCUUGGCCAAUUGUCCAAUCUAGAUUUCCUGAACCUCAAUAUUAACCACUUCAGUGGGAUAAUCCCUCCAGCACUUUUUAAUUUGACAAAGCUUUCCCGGCUAUACAUUGGCAGGAAUCCCGCAAUAAGGGGAGUUCUCCUUGAAGAAAUAGGAAAUUUGAAGAUUUUACUUGAAUUAGACUUGAGUUACAAUGGUUUUUCUGGCAACAUCCCUCCAACCCUUGGCCAAUUAUCCAAUCUAGCCUCCAUUAACCUCAACAAUAACCACUUCAGUGGGACAAUUCCUUCAGCUCUUUUUAAUCUGACAAAUCUUUCCCGACUAGACAUUCACUCUAAUCCUGCAAUGGGAGGAUUUCUCUCAGAAGAAAUAGGAAAUUUGAAGAGUUUAGUUAAAUUAAACUUCAGUGGCCUUAAUCUUUCAGGUGCCUUUACUUCAGCUCUUUGUCGCCUAACCAAACUAGUAUCUCUUUCAGGUGCUGAGAAUCAAAUUCAUGGUUCCAUUCCCUCUGAAAUAGGAAAUUUGAAAAAUUUGAAAUAUCUUUUCUUCGAGUCCAACCAGCUGACUGGUCAAAUCCCUCCGACCCUUGGCAGUCUGACUACUCUGAUUUAUUUGGACCUCUCUUCUAACCAAAUAAGUGGUUCCAUACCUCUUCAACUUUCCGUUAUACCUUCUCUAAAAUUUUUAGAUCUUUCCUCAAACCAACUUAGAGGUCCGAUUCCAUUUACAUUAAAUUUGGACACCUGGUCUAGAUUGAAGCAUUUAUAUCUACAAAACAACUCUUUGAGUGAUAUUUUUCCAUGGAAAAUUCUAGAUCUCCCUUUGUUACAGACAGUGGACUUAAGUCGUAACCGCAUUAGCGGAAAGAUACCAACCCAAUCGGAGUGGUACUUUUCGACUUUGGAUCUUUCCCACAAUAUUCUCUCUGGCACUGUCCCCUCGUCUCUUAUGCGACUGGGGGAAGUCGACCUGUCCUAUAAUGCUUUGGAAGGUGAACUUCCGUGUGAGCUUGUCAUUCAGUUUGGUUCAGAAAGAUUUGUCGGCAAUCCAGGCUUGCGUUACACUUCCACUCUUUGUGGUGUAUCUCCUCCUGUUAUGAAAAAUCACAGACAUCACCCCCCAUACUACAUCAUAGGUCUUGGCGUGUCCUUGUUGGUGUUCUCAUUAAUUGGCGGAUUAGUGCUUUUUAUCUUCUGCAAAACCAAAGUCAAGAAAGUGGAAGUUGAGCUGAUGGACAAUAAACAUGGAGACAUUUUCAGAAUAUGGAACUACGAUGGACAUAUGGCUUAUGAAGACAUAAUUAAAGCAACAAACGAUUUUGAUGUCUGUUAUUGCAUCGGGACAGGGGGGUAUGGUUCUGUAUACAGAGCGCGGUUGCCAAGUGGGAAAGUAGUGGCUUUGAAAAAGCUUCACCGUUUGGAAGGCGAGAAUCCAAAUUUUGACAAGAGCUUUAGGAACGAAGCCGACAUGCUAUCUAAAAUCAGGCACAGGAACAUUGUAACGCUCUUCGGAUUCUGCCUGCACAAGCGAUGCAUGUUUCUGAUUUAUGAGUAUAUGGACAGAGGAAGCUUGUUUUGUAUCUUGAGAGAUGAAACCGAAGCUGUGGAGCUGGAUUGGAUUAAAAGAGUGAAUUUGAUCAAGGGCAUUGCCAGUGCAUUGUCCUACUUGCAUCAUGAUUGUGAUCCGCCAGUCAUUCACAGGGAUGUAUCAAGCAACAACAUUCUUUUGAAUUCACAGCUCGAAGCAACUCUUUCUGACUUCGGAACCGCGAGGAUUUUGGAACUUGAUUCAUCAAAUCAAACAGUCAUUGCAGGCACCUUUGGCUACAUGGCACCAGGUAGGUUGCCUUGCUAUCCCAGAUCCCUUUCUGCUUUUCACCUUGUUUUUCAUAUUUUCUUGAUGCACAUAUUAGGCUUAACUUUCAAGGACAGAAAAGAAAAAAAUUCUUCCAACUGAAACGAUUAAUUUUUUUUUUUCGAAUAGUAAGUCUAGAGUUGUCCCAUUUGAGAUUAACUUUAUUUGUAUCCAAAUAUAUACAUACUUGUCAAUGCAGAGCUAGCCUAUACCAUGGUGGUCACUGAAAAGUCCGAUGUGUAUAGCUUUGGAGUUGUGGUGCUGGAAACGCUGUUUGGAGAGCAUCCACAAGAUUUCCUUUCUUGCAUAUCAUCACAACCCAAUGAACCAAUAAUGCUGAAGGAUCUUCUUGAUGCCCGUCUGCCCCCUCCGACUAACCCUUUGGUGGUUCGAAAUGUGGUUCUCGCGACAGCGUUAGCCCUGGAUUGCGUUAACGCAAACCCGAAAUGUCGACCAACAAUGCAGCAAGUGGUGAACCGAUUUGAAGUGGGCAGGCGAGAAUCAACUAGGCCUUUGCACACCAUUGCUGUGAAUCAGCUUGUUAGUCCACCAGUACUUUCACUGCCUGACCAAACCUGCGCAGAUGGGAGGAGUAGCUUAAGCACCAUAAAUGAAUUCCACGUGGAUAUCUCUGCGACUCUGCCAUCAUCCAAUUUUUCUAUCCAUGUUUCUACCUAAACAACUUUGAUAUCUGGUAGGAAACAGAAUAAGAUUUUUGACAAUUGCAGAGACCUCCCUUCAAGUUUAUUAAAUUACACCUACCUCCCUUGCUUUUAGUAUUUAUAUAACAAUAUAGGCCCAAAAGGCUAUAUUUUUUUUUCAAAAAUCCUAAACUACCCUUUUUGUACAAAAAUAUAACAAAAAUUAUUUUGCCAAUUGCUUUCUUUCAUAUUUCAACCAAACCCACCGUACUAACAAACUAACCUAACAAAUAGUCUAAUUCCAAAUUCUAAACCCAAGUAAUUCCAUCAUCAUGUUAUAAAAUUGCUUCUCCCAAAGCAUUCAUUCAAUUUUGAAGAUUCGUUCCAUUCUUCAAAAAUAUUCUCACCAUAUGGUUACAUGGAACGGUCAAACUCACAAUCAAUUGUUCUUAUGUUUGCAUAAUCUUGAACAUAGGAUGCCAUGGUUUGGUUCCAUAUAAGUGGUUUAACUCCUACUACAUAAGCCACAUUGUGGUCUUGAAGAAAAUCCUUAGGGAAGAUUUAGGUAUGGAUGGAAUUAAUCAAGUUUAAGAAAAGGAAAGGCAUCAUUAUGAUUAUAGAGAUCUUCAAAAAAUUCAUUUUGCCAAAAAUCAAAAUUCUAUUUACAAUUAAUCACACCCCAAACUUCAAACCCAAUGCCUACACUUUCUCAAAACAAAAUAAUCUAGCCUACUAUUAAAUCUCCAAACAUGUUAACGUUUUAAAUACAGAGAAGAAACUCUAUCUUCAUAACGAAACCACAACCAACAAUUGUCAAGUAUAAAAAGAAAUAUAAAUGUACUUAUUGAUAUCUUAAAAAGUUUUUUGGAUGGAUGAUGGACAAAUUAGCAAAUUUAUCAAUUUCAAAUGCUCUUCCUCUUUUGGCUAAUGAUUGCAUUAUCUGUUCCAUUAUUAUUGCGUGUCCCUUCAUUUCCUUUUAAUUUGACCAUGAAAUCGGAUUUUACUUCAAUCAUCAAAUCUAAUCUCUUAAAUAAACUUGUGAUUUGACAAUUUCAAAGAGAAGAAAAGAGGAAUAGAAAUAUAUAGUAGGGUGUGAUUGGCUGCAAUUAUAGGCAAUGGUUGGUGGUAAUUUGAGAGCGAAUUAUAGGAAGAAAGGGUUGAUGGAUGAAAACAAAAUGAUAAUAAGCGAGAGAAUCGUCGUUAGCUGUAACUUGUAAAUAGGAUAGCAAAAAAGGUUAAGUUUCUUUUUCUUUUUUUUAAAAAUCUCAUUUCAUUAUACUAUGAAUUAUUUAUUAAGUGAAGGUCAUUAUAGUCAUAUUAUUGUGACAAGAGAGGUUAGUGUAAUUUGUAAAACUUGAGGUGAGCCAAGUGGAAUUGUCAUAACCUCAAGGGAGGUUUGUGAAAUUAUCCCUAAACUAUAACCAAAUUUAAAAUUUGAACUCUAAAUAUGUAGCAUGCAUUUGCCUUUACUAGUUAAAAGAGAAAAAGGAAUUUCACACGUAAGAAAUUAUUGAAACAUAAAUGGUGCAAAUUUUCUUUUUUUAAAAAAAUUUUAAUAUAAAUGUACGAGUUUUUAUCAAUCUCUAGUUUGCCAUAUAAACAUAGAAUGAUUUUCAAUAUGAAUUUAUUAUAUCACCUAUUAUUUUAAUUCAUUAAACUCAACCACAGAAAAGAAAAAACUCGAACAUCAAGUUUCGAAAUGUGGAACCUAUAUUCAGCGGGCUACUAUUUUGGUGCUUAUGCCCCCAUAAGUCGAUUGCUGCGACUUUUUCUUCCUCCUAGGAUGGCCCAAAAGAAAGAAAAAAAGAAAAAAGAGUUUCCCGGUUGCUCAUCAAUUGAGGAAAACGCUGGUGAUUCCUUAUUGCUUCCUGGAUUUUUAACCUAAAGUGUAUAAUAGCUUAAGAAAACGUUGUACUAUUAAAAGAAAUUCUGGACCCAUAGUAUCCAAGUAAACAGCCAGUUGAUACGUGCAAGGAGGCUGUUGGGUUGGAGUGGAGUGGACAUUUGCGUUGGGUUAGUGGGCUUAAGUUGUUUACAGAAUGGUUGGUAAAAAAAAAUUAUGGUUGGGUUUACAGAUGGUUGAUGAUAGUGUUAUACCCAGUAUUCCUGGUACGCAUUCAGAAUCUGCUUCUAAGAGUAGAACUGAUAAUUUGAGUGAUCUUGACCUUUCUUGAUAUGUGAACCAAGGAAUGCCUCUGCCUGGAUGUAUUGUUCACCAAGAAACCUAGUCUCAUGUUUCGGGGAGAUUGGAUGAUCAAAAUGGUUCUUGCAAAUAUACUUUUGGGAGAAAUUGGUGGCCACCUUCUGGUUCAUUUGCCGCCAACCAUCCAGUUUGACCUGCUUAUGGAAGAAGUUGGAGGCCAUGAUAAUUGAAUGCAGGAUCUGUAAACUGCUGUAAUGUAUAUACUGCUCCUCAUAGUCGAAAUAGUGAUGCCUCCCUGCUGACAAAUUGACCAUCUUAAUUCUUUUCUGGUUGCUUGCAAGCUUCUUAACAUACAUUGUAGGAUAUAUUAUACUUCUUGUACAUGUAAAAAUUUUCAGGAGGUGCAAAAAAAGACACUUGGUUUAUAAUUCUAUUUUAUAACAAAAAAAUGCAAAAAUAAAUAAACAAUUAUUAUGUAGCUAGCUAGCUAAUUUGGCUUUUCUUUUCUUAGCUAACUAUAUGUUCCAAAGCAAACAUUCUGGUAUAAAAAGCUAUACAUGCAAGUAUUGUGCAUGAACAGAUAUAUAGAAGAAUAUUAGUAGAGGGCUAAUAGAAAGUUAUGCUAUAGAUGUUAUGCACAUAUUAGGUUAGAUCCCAUCUCCCUUUAAUUUUUUAUUAUUAGAAAAUGAUAAACAGUAUUAGCAGAAAUAGUUUUGUAAGUUCCAUAGAAAACCUUAGGGCUCCAUACUGUUAUAAUUUUGUUAAAUUUUUGGACAAUUUUGCUCUCCCUUUACUCCCAUGGCGGUGAAGUUGCUAAGCCUUGGUUACAAUUUUCUUCCUAUCCAACCCUUCACCCAUGAUCCGACGUCACUACUCCAAAACCCAAGUAUCCAAUACCAAUGCGAAUGCUUCAUACUUUGGUAAAACUCUGGCAAAGGCAUCAGAGUUUCCAAACUUUGAACUCGAGCAAGGGGCUUGAGAUUACAUGAUCAAGCUAUACAUAGUACAUACCAAUUCUUUUUAAGUUGUAUAAAUGCUUAAAGAGUUUCUAACCGUCAAGGAUUCCUAUGGCUGUUGGGAAAUCUUCAGACAUUACGAUACCAAAAAUCUUUGUGAUGUUGAAUGUGGAGGAUAAUAAUUCAAACCAUCUAAUACAAGUACCAAAACCAAAAAGAUUAAUUUGGCCAAAAUAACAGAUACUAGCUCGAAGAGUCGCUGCUACAUGCAUGGAGGGAGACCAGUAGCUCGCCGGCUAGAAUAAUGGAAGUUGUAAACAAGGUCUGCUAAUCAGGAAAAAUCUCCUAUUUUGUAAUGGCACUUUUUAUGAUUGUAAUACUGACAAUAUAAGGUGAAUCCUACUGUGACAUUAGUUAUAUAUAUAUAUAUACUAACUAGUAUUGUCCGUCUAAAAAUUUUGCACUAUAAGUUUACAAUGUGUUAUAGAUUUUCAGAAUAACUAAAUGUCUACAAUGAGUGGACAACUUUAUUCAAUGUUAAAGUAAUUUAAAGAAGAUAUCUGCAAUUUGUUUUAAUUGUAAUAACUAUAAGGUCAUCAAAUGGUAUAAAAUAACAUAAUUAUUAAAACUAUGCAAAAAAAUUGUACAAAAGUGCACAAUAACUAAUUAUGCAUUUAGUAUUAGAUGCAUAUUUUCAUAUGUGCAAUAAGCAGAUAAUGUAUACACAGUUUAACUAUCAAAUGAAUGUUUAGCUAACUUGUAAUUCAUAAGGUUAAGAAAAGUUUAAUGUUAAGUGCACAAGAUUUGUUAGAAAGAAAAUAAAAAUAGCAUUGUAUAAUAUAUUUUAUUUUAAUGUUGCAUUGCAGAAAUGAUGGUGAUAACUGCAUAAAAUUUUAAAACUUUUGGGAGGCAAUUGUGGGGUUAGUGGAAAUAUUACCAAAUUUCAACGGGUGCAAAAGUGAGGCAACAAUAGAAAACCUUUUAAUAGGCUAUUCUGAAAAUUCGAUUUUGGUAGGUUGCUUGGUUGGUUUUUCCCAUAUUUUGCUAAGUAAUUCAUCUUUUCGGCACGUGGCAAAAUAAAUUAUAAAGAAAAUUGUGUUUUUUAUUUUUUUGUGGAUUUUAUUUUUGUCUUUUUUUCUUUGCAACCAAUCUAUUAAUUACUUAGCUUAUAUAAGUUUGUAUGUUUGUGCCUUCUUUAUUUUUUUUUGUCAAUCAACUCACGUUUUUUCUUUUUUAAUCCUCUUCAAGCACGUUUUCUAUUUUUAUUAUUGGUUUGAUCAUUCAUCAGUAUUAAUUUGGACAAAUUAUGCCACGUUAAUGUUGAGGUAAUAGUAUCUAUUUUCUGUCUUUACCUUCCUGUCUAAUAAUUCCUUUUUUCUUCUAAUAAUUCUUAUUCUAAUAAUAGUGUUAUUUAUUAGAUUUCCUAAAAUUAUUUCAUCAUUAGUCUUUUCUUAUCUACAACAUAUAUGUCUUACAUAUUUCAUAAGGAAGUUCUUGAUUGAUGGUCAAGUCAAGUGUUCUCCAAUUUUCUUAUCAAUCAACCAUGAAUCUCUCUUAAUGAAUUUCCUUAAUUAAUUGACCCAGAGUUAAAUAUUUACACAUUUUAACCAUCUACUUUUUCAACAUCGUAUAUAGGCAUAUCAAUGGGUUGGGUCUUACCCAAAUCCAAUCCAGACCCAAUAUAUUUGGGUAGGGUUUGGAUUUAAUUUCUCAAAUUCAGACCCUACCCAGACCCAAACCCAGACCCUAUGAGAGAAUCGUGGGUGUGGGUAAAGUCUGAUUUUCUAGAAUCCAUAUCCAAAUCCAGACCCAGACCUUACCCAGAUCCAUAUAUAUUUAAUUAAAUAAUAUAUAUUAAAAAAUUUAUAAAAUAAUAUAAUAUUUUAUGGCUAUUGGAUCAAAUACAGUAAGAUUUUAUGGCAUUCAGAAUCUGCAAUUAAUGUUGGUGGUUGGAUGAUUAAUGAGACUCGUGUCAAAUUGCUUCUAGAUGUUGUUGAAACAUUAGUGACUACUGAUGAUUGGAUUGAAUCAAAGAAAAAAUGAGUAAGUGUUUAUAAAUCUUCUUAUGCUAUUAUUUAUUUGUUAUCGGUUCCUAAUCAAAAGAUUUUUAUCUCAUUCACUAUUUUAGUGUUGGAUUGCGAGACAUCUGCCACCAUUGAGGUUUAAAUAAGCAAAAGAGGUACAAAAUUACAUUUUUUUAAUAAAAUUAAAUAUUUAUAUAUGUUAUGGUUGUUUUCUUUUUUAAAAACUAAUCCUAGUUGUCAUUGUAAUUGGCCCAGACUUUUUCAAGAAAAUGAGAAAAGGUAAAGGCAAAUAAAUGAAAUAUUGAUGUGGAUGCAGUUGAAUCUUGAAAAAUAUAUAGAAGUAGUCAAUAAUAAUUCUUUCUUUGAGUUCAAAAUAUUGCAUUCAAUUUGUUGAAUGUUAAUUUUAUUAGUUGAAAACAAAAUUUGGAUGAUAUUUCUAUUAUUUAUGAACUCUAUAUAUUUUUAAUAUAUUUUUACUUUAGUAUUUUCAAAAAAUACCCAUGGAUACCCAUUGAAUACCCAGAUCCAUAAAGGUCAGGGUAUGGAUUUACUUUUGGGUCUGGAUUUGGGUUUAGGUCUAACUAAAUUAAAUGGGUCUGGAUCUGGAUCAAAAGGAUCCAACCCAGACCCUACUCAUUGACAUGCCUAAAUUCGUAUAGCUAUGUAUAUGACAUGAUACUGAUGAUAUUGAAUAGCUGAAUAUAUAUGAUAUAUGAAUUGAUAGGUAUAAUUAUGGUAUGUUUCGUCAUUUUUCUUAACAAACUCAAAUAAUUACUUUUUCUUUUAUCCCUUUGAUAGGGUGUAAAAAUGUAGUAUAUUUAAAUGUAUAAGUUGCUAGUUAAUCAUGUGAUUUGAGCUUUAUCUUAAGUAGAAACUACUUAGUUUUGCUCUUAUCUUGUUCUAAUAGGUGAAAACUCAAUUGGAGGGAAAAUGGACUAAAAACGUGGUGCAAAGAAGCAAUGAAAGAGGAAAAAGUGAAGAGAAAGGGAUUUGGCAGGAUCGACAUAUUUCAUUAUUUUGGCGAUAACUUGAACUACACAAAUCGGAUUGAGAUGAUUCUUGAUUCAAUUUGAAGCUAAGAGAGAAUGCUAUUGGACAUUAAAGUUUGGUUCACAUGUUUUCAUAGUCAAAAAUCCAAAUUACUGAAGUAUAGUUGUGUUGUGAUACUCUUUGAUAGGGUAUUAAUUGUUAGUAAUUUUAUCGUUAAUUCUCCUCUUUAUCCUUGCCAAAUAUUGCUCUAAUUGUGACAUGUACUUAUAUUUGGUAUUUGAAUCCAAUUUCAGAAAGUGGAGCAGAAACUAUCUUGAGAAGAUUAUUGUGAAACUCUAUACAAUUGGCCCAUAUGCAUGGUGUAAACCAACGUCCAUUUCUUUCUAUGAUGAAAAGGAAUUGAAUUGCAUUUGGCUGGCCAACAUCUCAAUUAGGUGGGGACCGUGAAGACUUGACCAUUGUGUAAAGACACAUUUUUGGUUUGCUCUCUUAUUUGUGAACGUGUGCACUUGGUCAAAGGAAACCGACAAACCAUAGUUGGCUUUGCUUUUGUUUUCGGUGGAGUUGAUUAGGUAGGGAAGGAAUGUUUUCUUUUGUGAGCAUGGAGUGAAGUUUCGAAUUGGCUUGUUUUUAUGCGUGGGGAGAGCCGCACAUUGGGGGAGUCAGUUUUUCUUCUUCUCUUCCGGCUGGGAAGAGAAGUUUUUAGUUUUGGAGUUUUCUCUAAAAAUAAGCUCCGUAGGAGGAUAGAGGAGUUUUUAGUUUUCUCUCCGAGGGAUGUUCCAGAGGAGAGAAUAGGGAGUUGUUUUGGUUUGUUGAAUUCUAGUGUGCAAUUUUCUUAUUCUCUUCCGAGAGCUUUGUUAUUCACUCUCUCAAUUAUCGAAGAAAGAUGAUGUCUUUAAAUUCAAUUGAAUUGUGUGAAGAUUUUCUUAUGAGGCGUGGCUAAUUUUCUCCUCUAGUCAAGGAUCAAUGCGAAGACGCAGUCCCAAUUAUCUGUGAGAUCUAAUUAAUUUUACGUGUUCCUUAAUUUAUUAAUAUUUGCAUGUUUUCUAUUUUAAUUUCCAUGGGAUUAUUUUGUUAAUUGGAUAUCAAGGGCCCGAUGUGCAAUUUGACUUUUUAAUCUCUUGUCAAAUUAAUCAAUUAAAUCCGUAAUUGUUUAGUUGGUUAAUAUUAGUGGCAACUAGUAUUUUCACAUACUAGGAGAACAUGCAAUCUGAUUUAAAUAACCCUCGUAGCGUGUUAUUAAUUUGGGUUAGGCUUUUCUAGUUUUUAAUGCAAUUAGGAAAUUAAUUCCUACGGUCGUACCUAGGAGUAUUUCCUGGUUAGAGGUAAUCAACGGUCGUACCUUGGUUAUCAAUAAAUUAAGGAAAAGCUGGUUGUUAGAGCUUAUCGGCGACUAUAACUAGUCUAUUAAUUAAAUUAAGUGAACCUUCUUUGCAUCAAUGAUCGAAUGAAUGGACUGUGUCUGCGUAGUUGUAUCCUUGGCUAGAAUUUAUUUAUUAUUUAUUUAAUUGCUAUUUACAAUUGUAUUAAUUAAUUAUUUAUUUUUGGUUAAAUUAUUUAAUUGUUUUUUAGUUAAAUUGUUUAAUUAUUUAUUUUAUAUUUCAUUUUGAUAAAAAUCCCCCGUGUCUCGAAUUUAAAAAGAAUCGAAUUUUUUUCCAGUCCCUGUGGAUUCGACCCUGCUUACUACUAUACACAGAAAAUUUAUUUUUCUUAAGCAGGUAUUUAUUAUUGCACAGGCACGACACCUGUCAAUUUUUGGCGCCGUUGCCGGGGACUGGCGUUAAUUAUUUGUUUCUUUUUAAGUUCAUUUUUGUUCUAAUUUUCUGGUAUUUUUUUCUAGUUUAUGCCUCGUUCUUCUCGUACAGGCAAAUUAAUUUUCGACCCUGAAGUAGAGAAGACCGCGCGUAGAACGAGGAAAGAAACCAGACAACUCAGAGAAGAGCAAUACGGUAUUGCAUCUCAGGGACUUGAUCCAGAGGUUGAGCCGACAAAUUUGUCUGGUGACAAUUCGAGUGAUUCAGACCAAGAGGAAGUCACUAUGGCAAAUGCACGAACAUUAAGGGAGUUGGCUGCUCCUGAUUUAAAUCAGCAGCCAUUGUGCAUUACUUUUCCAAAUUUAAAUGAUGACACUCCCUUUGAACUAAAAUCUGGUCUAAUUCAUCUCUUGCCAUCUUUCCAUGGUCUACCAGGUGAGGAGCCCUACAAGCACUUGCAAGAAUUCGACGUCGUUUGCACCAGCAUGAAACCACCGGGAAUUACAGAAGAGCAAAUAAAGAUGAGGGCUUUCCCCUUCUCUUUGAAGGACUCUGCAAAAGACUGGCUCUACUACCUACCGCCUGGUAGUAUCACCACGUGGGACCAAUUGAAGAAAAAAUUUCUGGACAAGUACUUUCCGGCGUCUCGAGCUGCGAGCCUAAGGAAAGAGAUAUGUGGUAUCAAACAACACCCUAGCGAGUCUCUCUAUGAGUACUGGGAGAGAUUUAAGAAACUGUGCACCAAAUGCCCUCAGUAUCAGAUAAGUGAGCAACUGCUCAUUCAAUAUUUCUAUGAGGGGUUGCUUUUCAGGGACAGAAACAUAAUCGAUGCUGCAAGUGGAGGGGCGUUGGUGAACAAAACCCCUCGAGGAGCAUGGGAGUUGAUUGAAGGGAUGGCUGAGAAGUCACAGCAGUUUGGUUCAAGAGAGGACAUCCCGACGCGUAGGGUGAAUGAGGUGGAAACGUCCUCUAUCCAACAGCAAAUCUCCGAAUUAACAUCUUUCGUAAGACAAUUAGCUGUGGGGAGUACUUCACAAGCCAAAGUGUGUGGGGUAUGCACUGCCGUGGGUCAUCCUACGGAAAUGUGUCCAUUGGUUCAAGAAGAAACUGCAGAACAGGUGAACAUGGCUGGCCACGCGCCCGCGCCAAGAAAGCAGUACGAUCCGUACUCAAGCACCUACAAUCCUGGUUGGAGGGAUCACCCCAACCUUAGCUAUGGAGGAAAUAGGCAGUCUAAUUUUGUACCAAAUAGACCACAAGGGCACCAACAGCAAUAUCAUCCUCGCCCACCACCACUACCACCCCCUUCAAAUUCAAGUCCGUCCAUGGAAGAGAUGAUGAAGCAAUUACUUGCUAAUCAACAAAAGACGGAUUCAGACCUGCAAAGCAUGAGAAAUCAACUGGGACAGGUGCAAUCAUUGCAAAAUCAAAUGAAUCAAAUGGCUAUAACAAUCAACCGUUUGGAGUCCCAAGUUCAAGGAAAGUUACCAUCUCAGUCUGAGGCAAAUCCAAAGAAUGUAAGCGCAAUGACCUUAAGGAGUGGCAAGGAAGUUCAAGGACCCGAACCGGUGAUUUCUAAAGACAAGGACGAGCAACGGAUUGAGAAAGAAUUGGAAGAGGAGGGCAGAGACAACAAAAAUGCAAAGGUACCCUCGAACCCAAUUCCUACAGCUAAAACUAAUCCACCUCCCUUUCCUAGCAGGUUAGAGAAACCAAAGAAGCAAGACAAGGAAAAAGAGAUCUUGGAGAUCUUUUGCAAGGUGGAGAUCAACAUACCCCUGCUGGAUGCGAUUAAACAAGUACCUAGGUACGCAAAAUUUUUAAGGGACCUGUGUGCCAACCGCAAGCGGUUGAAGGGGGAUGAACGAGUUAUAGUUGGGGAGAAUGUUUCAGCAAUUCUACAAAGAAGGCUUCCACCGAAAUGCGGAGAUCCAGGUAUGUUUACUAUUCCUUGUAGGAUAGGUAAUACUUUGAUUGGAAAGGCCAUGUUAGACCUAAGAGCCUCGAUUAAUGUCAUGCCAAAGUCCAUUUAUGCUUCAUUGAACUUAGGCCCUUUGAAAGAGACUGGAAUAAUAAUCCAAUUAGCUGACAGGACCAAUGCAUACCCUGACGGGUUGAUUGAAGAUGUUUUGGUAAAAAUUAAUGAAUUGAUUUUUCCAGCUGAUUUUUAUGUGCUCGACAUGGAGGAUGAACACUCCCGUGAUCCGUCACCUUUGUUGUUAGGUAGACCCUUUUUUAGCACAGCCCGAACCAAAAUUGAUGUUAAUAAGGGUACUUUGUCUAUGAAAUUUGAUGGUGAGAUUGUUCAUUUUAACAUCUUUGAGACCAUGAAAUAUCCAUCCGAUUCAAAUAUUGGCUCUGUUUUCUCGGUAAAUGUUAUUGACCCUGCUAUACAGGAGUUUUUUGAAAUUGAAGGCAGGGAUGAACUAGAGGUCGUCCUGACCAGGCACUUUGAGUCCGAAACGACCUCUAGGGUAGAGUUGAGUGAAGAGCUUAAAUGCGUGAUUGGAUCGUUGCAAACGUUACCAAUCACGAAGACAAGAUAUGAUCUUGCACCGAUUUUCAUACCCGAACCUCACCAAAGGUUACUUCCAUCUGUGGUGCAGGCACCUGUCUUGGAACUAAAACCACUGCCGAAACACCUAAAGUAUGUAUACUUAGGUGAAGGGGAGACACUUCCAGUGAUCAUUUCCGCGGGUUUAUCAAAGGUUCAAGAAGAGAAACUACUUCGAGUUCUUAGGGAACAUAAGCAGGCGAUAGGAUGGACCAUCGCCGACAUCAAGGGAAUUAGCCCCGCGGUGUGUAUGCACCGAAUUCGACUCGAGGAGAAUGCUAAACCCGUACGGCAAGCUCAACGGAGAUUAAAUCCUCUCAUGAUGGAGGUCGUAAAGAAAGAGAUUUUAAAACUGUUGGACGUUGGAAUUAUAUUUGCAAUAUCAGAUAGCCCGUGGGUAAGUCCAGUACAGGUGGUCCCGAAGAAAGCAGGGGUGACGGUAGAAUCAAACCAAGAGGGUGAGCUCGUACCAAUUCGAAAUCCCACCGGAUGGCGACAGUGUAUCGAUUACCGGAAGCUAAACGCUGUCACAAAAAAUGACCAUUUUCCCCUCCCUUUCAUUGACCAAAUGGUAGAGCGAUUAGCAUGUCGAGCUUACUACUGUUUCUUGGAUGGAUUUUCAGGUUACUUUCAAAUUGCCAUAGCACCCGAGGACCAAGAGAAUACUACUUUCACCUGCCCAUUUGGAACAUUUGCAUACCGAAGGAUGCCAUUUGGAUUGUGUAAUGCACCUGCUACCUUUCAAAGAUGCAUGGUAAGUAUCUUUUCAGAGUAUGUUGAGAAGAUUAUUGAGGUUUUCAUGGACGAUUUCAGUGUAUAUGGUGAAAGUUUUGAAAACUGUCUAGAUAAUCUGAAAUUGAUCUUAGUAAGGUGUAUAGAAACUAAUCUCGUGCUUAAUUGGGAAAAAUGUCAUUUUAUGGUUGAACACGGGAUAGUUUUGGGUCAUGUAGUAUCAUCUACAGGUAUUGAGGUUGAUAAGGCAAAAAUAGAUGUUAUAUCUACUUUACCUUACCCCGCGAGUGUGCGGGAAGUUCGUUCCUUCUUGGGUCACGCAGGUUUCUAUAGAAGGUUCAUCAAGGACUUCUCGAAAAUUGGAGCACCUUUGUUCCAACUUUUGCAAAAAGAUGUAUCCUUCGAAUUUGAUGAAACAUGUAAGGGGGCAUUCAAUAAGUUAAAGGAGUUAUUGACCACCUCACCUAUUAUCCAACCCCCUGACUGGAACCUCCCAUUCGAGAUCAUGUGUGACGCCAGCGACUAUGCAGUGGGUGCGGUAUUGGGUCAAAGAGUAGGAAAGGCAGCUCAUGCUAUCUACUACGCAUCUCGAGCCUUGAACGGAGCUCAAUUGAACUAUUCAACCACCGAAAAGGAGCUUUUAGCAGUUGUUUUUGCCUUAGAAAAAUUUCGGUCUUAUUUACUUGGUACUAAAGUUAUUAUUUUUUCUGAUCAUGCAGCUUUACGAUAUUUGUUGACCAAGAAAGAGGCAAAACCGCGAUUGAUACGGUGGAUAUUGUUGUUACAAGAGUUCAACCUGGAGAUCCGAGAUAAGAAAGGGGCAGAGAACCUGGUAGCAGAUCACUUGAGUCGAGUACAAGUCGUCGAAGAGGACCUCCCAUUGAGAGAAGCAUUCCCCGAGGAGCAUUUAUUUUCUAUUAAUUCAUCUUUGCCUUGGUAUGCAGAUAUUGUUAAUUUUCUAGUCACUGACAAAUUUCCUACAGGAUGGCCUAAGGCGAAGAGAGACAAGUUGAGGAGCGAUGCAAAGUUCUACAUUUGGGAUGAUCCUUACCUCUGGAAGCGGGGCGCCGAUCAAAUCAUCCGUAGAUGUGUAAGUGAAGUUGAAUUUCAAUCUAUUCUAGCCAAUUGUCACUCUUUUGCAUGUGGAGGUCACUUUGGACCAAAGAGAACGGCUCGUAAGGUGCUAGAGAGUGGAUUCUAUUGGCCAACCCUAUUCAAGGACGCCUACUCAUUUUGUAAGUCCUGUGAUAAGUGUCAAAGAGUGGGUAAUAUCUCUCGUAGGGAUCAAAUGACCCAAACCCCAAUGAUUUUUGUUGAAAUUUUUGACGUUUGGGGCAUUGAUUUUAUGGGUCCUUUUCCUUCGUCCUUUGGUUUUUUGUAUAUAUUGCUUGCUGUAGAUUAUGUUUCGAAGUGGGUAGAAGCAAAGGCCACCCGCACUAAUGAUUCCAAAGUGGUUGCAGAAUUCAUUAAGUCUAAUAUUUUUGUCCGCUUUGGGAUGCCGCGAGCAAUUGUAAGUGAUCGGGGUACUCAUUUCUGCAACAAAACGAUCGCUGCAAUUUUUAGGAGAUAUGGUGUCUUGCACAAAGUCUCUACAUCCUACCAUCCUCAGACAAAUGGUCAGACGGAAGCAUCGAACCGAGAGAUCAAAUCAAUUCUAGAAAAGAUGGUCCGACCCGAUAGGAAGGAUUGGAGUGUGAGACUAGAGGAUGCACUAUGGGCAUAUAGGACGGCAUACAAGACACCUAUUGGCAUGUCCCCUUACCGAUUGGUAUUUGGAAAACCAUGUCAUCUCCCGGUAGAGUUUGAGCAUAGAGCGUUUUGGGCGGUCAAGCAAUGCAAUAUGGAUAUCGAGGAGGGCGGAAUUCAAAGGAAGUUGCAAUUACAAGAGUUGGAAGAAAUCCGAAAUGAAGCAUACGAGAAUGCAGUGAUCUAUAAAGAGAAGAAUCGGAUCUUUCAUGACCAACAGAUCUCUAGGAAGACAUUCGUCUGCGGGCAAAAAAUUUUACUAUACCACUCCAAAUUGAAACUAUUUCCAAGUAAAUUACGUUCUCGUUGGAUUGGCCCUUUUGUUGUGACUAAUGUCUUUCAUUAUGGUGCAGUAGAGAUCCAAAGUUUGAAAACGGAGAAGAAAUUUGUGGUGAAUGGUCACCGUCUCAAGCCGUAUUAUGAAGGAUUUCCAAUUGAACGGGUGGAGAUGAUGCAACUGGAAGACCCGAUUUGCUUAGUUUAAGCAAAUUCUGGACUCCGUCUAGCCAAAGACGUUAAAGAAAGGCGCUUUUGGGAGGCAACCCAAUUUUUGAUUUUGUUGAUUUUUGUUGUUCAAUUCGUUAAAUAUGUCGUUUCUCAUCUGGGUAUUGUUUAAACUUGAUAUUUUCUCUACUAUGAUCAGGACAGGUGAUCAUGGCGUGCCCGCGCAGAGAGGGCACGUAUUAAUCUUACAAGUUCCAACUUCAAGGUCAGAGGAUGUUUCUAAAACAUGGCAUGCCCACGCCAUGUUGGUAAAAUCUCAACAUUACAAAGUGGAAUCUUGGCGUGCCCACGCCAUGUUUAACAAAAAAAAAAAAAAAUCAAAAUCAAAAUGCUGUUAUUUUCCUUCUUAACACUCGUUUUAGUUUUUCAGCAAUUCAAUUCUGAAUUUAAAAAAAAAAAAAAAAACUGUAAGAUCAAAUUUUUUUUCCUUUCUUUUUUCUCUUUUCUUUCUUUUCUUUUUCUUUCUUUCUUUCUUUUUCUUUUCUUUCUUUCCUUUCUUUCUUUCUUUCUUCUUCUUUUCUUUCUUCUUCUUCCCGCUGUCCGUGUUUUCUUCUUCCUCGCGCACUCCGCCAACCUCUAUUCUCCACUUCGUGCGCCUCACCUCCAUCGCCACCACUGUCCACCACCCAUCCAGCUCCUCACCGCCUCCCUCUUCUCUCUCUCUUCACACCGCACGACAACCAGCUCGCGUCACAACUCCUGCAACCCAGAGCAGCACCGCCACUGCCUGCUGCUUUCUCAUCGCCAUACCCCCAGCUCCACCCCCACCCUCGGUCUCGCUUCUACCCACCUAGCUCGCUGUCACCACCAGUCCGCGUUUUCCAUCUUCCUCGCGCGCGUUUCCAUCUGCAGCUGACUGAGCCUCCCAGCAUCGCGAGCCACCAGCGGCAACCGCCGCCUCUUCAGCCAGCAACCAACUGCCGCCAACACUAUCCACAACCAGUGCAGCUCCUCCACCUCAGCUCAGCUCUCUCUCUCUCUCUCGCCAACCAUCCAUAACCGCCGCCCUCAAGCUCAUCCUGAAGCGUCCACCUCUGCAUGCAGCCGCCGCUGUCUCAGCUCUCUCCACCAGCCCACACCAACUCCAAGCUCCAUCUUCCUCCUCCUUGCGUGACUGCCACCAGCUUCACCAAGCAGCCGCGCACACGAAUCUCCACUCCAACGCAGCCACAACCGCAAAACCUCCGCUCUUGCAUUUUUCUCAUACCCCUUUGACUAUAAGAUAACAAGAAAUAUGGUGCGAUGGUGACUUUAGUUUAGUCCGUGCAAAGUGGAAACCUCAAGGUAUCGGCUCUAAUCAGAACAUCAAGGUAUCUCUGUAGCCUCAAUCAAGUAGAUUGUUUGGGUCAAAUGAAUGUUGUGAGCUGUGUUUUUAUUACUACUUGGAACAGUCAAGUGUUUGUGUGAGCUGCCUCUGUGAUAUUAAUUUGAAUUGUUGUGAUUUCUUGGAGACAAUUAUUGAGUUUCUGAAAGAAUUGUGACUAAUUACUGAUAUUGGUUGUUUUGAUUUGCUUGAGUUGAUAUUUUAUUACAUUAUUAGCAGUUGUGUUCUAAUAUUGUGUGUAGCUCCUUUUUCCGAUUGUUUGUUGAUUUGAAUGAUUAUUGAGAUUGGUUAAGUGUGUAUCUAACUGUCCAAUUGGAGACAAUUGUUGAGAUUUUGGGUCGAAUUGUGUUUAAAUUGCUGUAAUUUGUGUCCAAUUGUGGGUAAUUUGCUGAGAUUGUUUGUUAAAUUAGGAGGUGCUUGUAAUGCUUAAAUUUGCUUAUUGAAGUAGAUUGCCUCUAAUUGCCUUGUGUGAGAGUCUUUGGUCUUUUCCAUUUAAUUAUUACGUUGAUUGGGGUGAUUUUGAGGUGCAUUGUUAUUGCAUUUGGCUAAGUUUGGAACCACAAGUGCUUAUUGAUUGCAUUUACUAUAAGUGUUGGGGUAAAUGUAUAACUUGUGGGUGAUUGAAGUGUGCAUUUUGUUGUUUAAAUUAACUAAGCGAGAGGCCCCAAUAUUUAUUACAAUUGUUAUUACAAUUUGUUGGAAAUGGUUGUCUAUUGUUCAUUGGAGUGAUAUUUGGAGAAAAUGGUGAGACUCAGAUCAACCCCAGGGGCUAAUCCACCGAUGUCUUGACGAUUUCAGGGGAGUUUCGUUGCCAUUCUUCUUACUUUUUCUAUAUAUUUGUUACAUUGAGGGCAAUGUAUAUUUUAAGUGUGGGGGAGAUUUGGAUUUGAUUGGAGUUUCUUUAAAUUGUUGCUUUUCUUAUUGUUGUCUUGAUGAAUAAAUGUGGCAACUCACUCUUCUAUUGCUGGUUGUGAUUUAUCCUAUGAAUUUUGUUUAGAUGGCAAGUAAACGCAUGUUAUCUUGGUGAAUAUCAUGAGUUUAAUGACUUGGUGCAAAUUGUGGUUAACUUGUUUAGGCAAUAUAAAUAUUUUAUUAGCAAUUUUUGUGUGGAUUGGGCAAUUGUUGAUCUUAGUUCUCCAUAUUAGGAGAUGACGUGGGCCAUGAUCUUUAAUUAUCUGGCAUUCUGGUACUUUAAUUGUGAUUAAUAAAUGACUCUACUCCGCUAGUGCCGUCACCCAGUAACCGGGAGUCUUCACCACAAGUGUCGACUUUCGCGUCAAAAAGUGGCGAUAUCUAUGAGUAGUUAGUCCUGAAGCUGUGAAAAAUUGAGUAACUGGGCUCUUUCAUCUAAAAAUGUCAGAGUUCACGUCAAAAGACUUGAAUAGCUUGGGACUAAACAUUUAUUGAAAAAAAAAAGAGAGAGAGAAGAAAAUAAUGUGUAAGCUUAUGAUCAUGAUUGGCCUGCCGAUCCUUGUUCUUCAAUGUUGAGAUUUUGGUUUUCAGUUGACCAAAUUGCUAACUUUUGCUAGUUUAAUAUUUUGAUUUCUUAGACGAGUUAGCUAUGAAUUGGACGAGUCUACGAUUUCAGGAGCUAACCGGGAGAAAUAUGUCCUGACACUUAGCUACUAAAACUUGAUUUUGGGAUAAGCGCAGCUUGGCAGUAAAUGAAAUGAGAGUUAGCCAUUGUUGAAUUUAGUUGUUCCCAUGCUUGAGGGCAAGCAUGAUUUAAGUGUGGGGGGAAUUGAUAGGGUAUUAAUUGUUAGUAAUUUUAUCGUUAAUUCUCCUCUUUAUCCUUGCCAAAUAUUGCUCUAAUUGUGACAUGUACUUAUAUUUGGUAUUUGAAUCCAAUUUCAGAAAGUGGAGCAGAAACUAUCUUGAGAAGAUUAUUGUGAAACUCUAUACAAUUGGCCCAUAUGCAUGGUGUAAACCAACGUCCAUUUCUUUCUAUGAUGAAAAGGAAUUGAAUUGCAUUUGGCUGGCCAACAUCUCAAUUAGGUGGGGACCGCGAAGACUUGACCAUUGUGUAAAGACACAUUUUUGGUUUGCUCUCUUAUUUGUGAACGUGUGCACUUGGUCAAAGGAAACCGACAAACCAUAGUUGGCUUUGCUUUUGUUUUCGGUGGAGUUGAUUAGGUAGGGAAGGAAUGUUUUCUUUUGUGAGCAUGGAGUGAAGUUUCGAAUUGGCUUGUUUUUAUGCGUGGGGAGAGCCGCACAUUGGGGGAGUCAGUUUUUCUUCUUCUCUUCCGGCUGGGAAGAGAAGUUUUUAGUUUUGGAGUUUUCUCUAAAAAUAAGCUCCGUAGGAGGAUAGAGGAGUUUUUAGUUUUCUCUCCGAGGGAUGUUCCAGAGGAGAGAAUAGGGAGUUGUUUUGGUUUGUUGAAUUCUAGUGUGCAAUUUUCUUAUUCUCUUCCGAGAGCUUUGUUAUUCACUCUCUCAAUUAUCGAAGAAAGAUGAUGUCUUUAAAUUCAAUUGAAUUGUGUGAAGAUUUUCUUAUGAGGCGUGGCUAAUUUUCUCCUCUAGUCAAGGAUCAAUGCGAAGACGCAGUCCCAAUUAUCUGUGAGAUCUAAUUAAUUUUACGUGUUCCUUAAUUUAUUAAUAUUUGCAUGUUUUCUAUUUUAAUUUCCAUGGGAUUAUUUUGUUAAUUGGAUAUCAAGGGCCCGAUGUGCAAUUUGACUUUUUAAUCUCUUGUCAAAUUAAUCAAUUAAAUCCGUAAUUGUUUAGUUGGUUAAUAUUAGUGGCAACUAGUAUUUUCACAUACUAGGAGAACAUGCAAUCUGAUUUAAAUAACCCUCGUAGCGUGUUAUUAAUUUGGGUUAGGCUUUUCUAGUUUUUAAUGCAAUUAGGAAAUUAAUUCCUACGGUCGUACCUAGGAGUAUUUCCUGGUUAGAGGUAAUCAACGGUCGUACCUUGGUUAUCAAUAAAUUAAGGAAAAGCUGGUUGUUAGAGCUUAUCGGCGACUAUAACUAGCCUAUUAAUUAAAUUAAGUGAACCUUCUUUGCAUCAAUGAUCGAAUGAAUGGACUGUGUCUGCGUAGUUGUAUCCUUGGCUAGAAUUUAUUUAUUAUUUAUUUAAUUGUUAUUUACAAUUGUAUUAAUUAAUUAUUUAUUUUUGGUUAAAUUAUUUAAUUGUUUUUUAGUUAAAUUGUUUAAUUAUUUAUUUUAUAUUUCAUUUUGAUAAAAAUCCCCCGUGUCUCGAAUUUAAAAAGAAUCGAAUUUUUUCCCAGUCCCUGUGGAUUCGACCCUGCUUACUACUAUACACAGAAAAUUUAUUUUUCUUAAGCAGGUAUUUAUUAUUGCACAGGCACGACACCUGUCACUCUUACGACCAGGUCUUAGUAUUUUAGGCAUAUAUAAGCAUCCAGACUCCAAAUCACUUGAUUCUUGCAGCAUCGGAAAGCUAAUUGAAAUAUCUACAACUUUCAUGUUUUGAUCAAGAGUUGAUUCGGCCUUAUUGUUGGUGAUCUGGGCUUCAAAGGUGAUCUAUGUACGGAUUCGUACCGAUCCGCAGAUGGAUCCAUGACCGGUGUUGGAUAUCACCAAGGAAUUCCCGCCAAACAUCUUCAAAUUCUUUGGUGUUUUGAGAUUGGUCCAAUGACUGGUGCCGGACAUUGGGCCGAUCAUUGGGCUGGUCAUCAUCGAAAAAAUGCGCGAAAACGUGAUUUUUCAACUCUAAUAAAACCUAUUCCUACCUUGUUUAGGAUACAUCUUCAAGAAACUAUAAAUAAAGGUUCUUUAUGUCGUUUUGAGAGAGAAAACAUUAGGUUAGCAUUAGUUCAUCCUUUUUCCAUCUUCUUUUCUUGAGAGAUCCAGAAGAAAGAGUUGAAGAAUCAAAGAAGAAGAGCGAAACGGACAUCGAAGUAAGGGAAAUUGAGAAGUUUUCUUUACUUUUAUCUUUUUAUUUAUAUCUUUUCUUUAAAUUCUUGGUUUUAAUUAUGAAUAUGUUGAACUAAAUUAUAUCUAGGGUUACAGUUUUGUGAUGGAGUUUUGGAUUAUUUAUCUUAGUUAAAUUCUUAACUUUUGCCUUGAUUUAAUUGUAUAUUUGUGAUUGGCCAUCAUAUAUAUGCUCUUAGGGUUUGUAUUGAACCAAGAAGGGAUAUACAACCAUGCACUAGAUAGAUAAACAUACUUAGUCUAAUCACGAGAAUAGGUUAGGGUUUGUAUGAUACACUUAUAUCACCAAAGUUCUUAAUGGGUUUAAUUAAAUGCUUGUGAUUUCAAAAGAAACGUAGGAUUUAAUUAGGGAUACUUUAGAUGUAUUGAGAAAUAAUCUAAAAUACAAUUGUGUGAUGCAUUCAUGGUUUGUUAAGAAAUUAACUGGAUAAUUAAUUCAAACUUUAGAUCAAAACCUGAAACCUUAGUUUCUGCCAAUUGUUUUCUCACCUUUAUUAUUAGAUUUGAUUAUCUAUUUUCUUCUUUAAUUAGUUAAAAAUAAAUCGUUUGAAUUUUAUUAUUUGUCUAGAAUAAUUAAAGUAGAGAAAAUUAACUCAUUCUCGUGGGUUCGAUCCUGAAAUAUUCUAGGUGAUUUAUUACUGCGAUCGACCCUGUGCGCUUACAGGAAUUUGUCAAUCACCCUAUAAAGUAAAGGGAAACAUUAUUUGUACUCUAUUUUUUGUUAUUUGCACUUCCACCAUUUGUUUUAUCAUACAAUCUAAUAAAUGAAAAAUAUAUGAUUAAAAUGAUAGUGGGAGUAUGAUUAAAAAACAUAGGAGUGCAAAUAACAUUACAUGUAAGUAAAUUAUAUUUAUGUUUCUUUUUAACAUCAAAAGUUUCCUUUUUGACAUUCGAUAUACACUCUCCAUCCUAUUAAAAAUGUCCUACUUUUCAUUUUGGAAUGUCCUAAAAUGUUUUUCAUCACACCAAAAUUAAAGUUCCUUUUGAUCUCUUUUUUCAAUGUUAUCCCCACUAUUAUCUAUUUGAUAUUAAAUUUAAAUUUAGAAUUUUAAUUUUCGAGGAUAAUUUUAGAAACAAAACCAUUAACAUCAUCAUCAAGCCACUAUUUUUAAAGGUUCGAAUACAACUAAUUUGUGACGGAGGCAGCAACUCUUAAUUUUUUUCCUUUUUAUCUCAAAAUGAAACUACAAGUUCAAUGCUAAUACUUUUUUUCUUUUUUUUUUUCCAUUUCAAAACAAACCUGUAAGAUCACUCUUAAAUUUUACUCUUUUAUCAUCUCAAAACAAAACUUUGUGGUCACUCUUAACUCUUUCUCUUUUAUCAUCUCAAAACAAAACUUUGUGAUCACUCUUAAUUUUUUUUCUCCUUUUCAUCUCAAAACAAAACUUUGGGUAAGUUUUCAAUUAAUUUUCUUUCCUAAUUUGAGUGGCGUGGUUUUGGUCAUCAUUGGUGCAUUACAUCAUAAAUAUAAUUCGAUAAUUUCAUACAAUUAGCCUUUGAAUUAGUUAUUCAUACCACAAACCACCACACAUACACUCGUAUGUAUUCAUUCCAAAUGUGUUAGUUUUACAAUUCUUAGGAUAUAAUUCCUAGGUAUGUUUUGAUCCACAAUAUUAUUAAAAAGUCUUUCAACAUACUAGAUGCAGUCCAGUUAAAGAAACAGUUAAGAACUAAUUUAAAUAAAAGUCAAACUAUACAAGAGUAUUUUGUUUAAUAGGUUUGGUCAACGAGUGUCCUAGAGCAUGCGUUAUUAGUUAUUUUGAGUGUUAGCUAUUAAUAUUUUAGCAAAAGUGUAAUUAGUUCGGAAGAGUGAUGUGUGUAUUCAUACUGUAAAUUAGGUGCGAUUUAAGUGUUUUCAUGAGUUUCAGCACUCAUUAAAAAAUCCUUAACACAGUAAUCCUUGAGAGUGCAACUCCCUUUAAAUUAUCGGAAGGAAAAGGAAAAAACAAAGCCUGGCAAGAAACAAAAAAGUCUUCAACGUGUUUAAGCACCGCAGAAAAGUCUUCUAAGAAAAUUUGCACAACAAUUGCAGUGAACUUGACCCUCAAAUGUGAAAUCAAAUCAAGGCUGGAAAGAACACAUUACAAGUCUUCCCUGGCCCCCUAAGACGCCGAUUGGAAAGACCUUGACUUAGACUUUAAAAGCAGAGCUUUAAAAUUCACGCUACCUCAGAGUACUUAUCAGGAGGCCUAAAUUUCAUAUAUCUAACAUCGAUGGAGGUUGCAUGCAGCAAAGUUGUUCUUCUCCUGAUAUCGGCUACUGCACAAGCAGCAGGAGCAGCAAGAAAGCCUGCUCUUGGUUACACCGAAUACAGCGUAAUGGGUCUUAGCAUAUUUUUUGUGGUUUACUCACUAAUCGGUGGAUUACUAUGUUUAAUCCUCUGCAAAACUAAGGUCAAGAAAGUAGAAUCUGAGCCCUUAGACAACAAACAUGGAGAUGUUUUCAGAAUGUUGAACUAUGAUGGACAUAUGGCUUAUGAAGACAUAAUAAAAGCAACAAGAGGUUUUGAUGUCAGUUAUUGCAUUGGGAGAGGGGAUUAUGGCAGUGUGUACAAAGUGCAAUUGCCAAGUGGGAAAGUAGUGGCUGUGAAAAAGCUUCACCAUUUGGAAGGCAAGAAUCCAAAUUAUAAUAAGAGCUUUAGGAAUGAAGCCCGCAUGCUAUCCAGAAUCCGGCAUCGAAACAUUGUAAAGCUCUUUGGAUUCUGCCUGCACCAGAGAUCCAUGUUUUUUAUUUAUGAGUAUAUGGACAAGGAAGCUUGUUUUGUAUCUUGAGAGAUGAAAUUCAAGGUGUGGAGCUAGAUUGGAUUAAGAGAUUGAACUUGAUAAAUGGCAUUGCCAAUGCAUUGUCCUACUUGCAUCAUGAUUGUGAUCCACCAAUCAUUCACAGGGAUGUAUCAAGCAACAACAUUCUUUUGAAUUCACAGCUUAAAGCAACUCUAUCUGACUUUGGAACUGCAAAGAUUUUGAAACCUGAUUCCUCGAAUCAGACAGUAAUUGCAGGCACCUAUGGUUACAUUGCACCGGGUAUUUACCUUCUUAUUCCUAGAACACUUUCUUUUUUUCGCCUUGUUUCUGUUAUUUUAUCUCUGCACGUAUCAGGUUUAACUUCUACUAGAAAGAAAAAAGCAAAAAAGACCUGUAACUACAUAUUAUUGUUUUGCUGAACAGCAAGGUGUAGUACACGAUGUAUGGCUUAAAUUUUCGAAUAUUGAAAGGAUUGCAAUUGGAUUACUAGCUAGGUUUGGCAGCCUAGGAUUGUCCAGCUGAGAAUAACUUUAUUUUAUCCGCUACUUAUAAUUGCAGAGCUAGCCUAUACCGUGGCGGUCACUGAAAAGUCUGAUGUGUAUAGCUUUGGUGUUGUGGUACUGGAAACAUUGUUCGGAAAGCAUCCACAAGAUUUCCUUUCUUGCAUAUCCUCACAACCCAAUGAACCAAUAAUGAUGAAGGAUCUUCUUGAUGCCCGUCUGCCCCCUCCGACUAACCCUUUGGUCGUUCGAAAUGUGGUUGUCGCGACAGCGUUGGCCCUGGAUUGCGUCAACGCAAACCCGAAAUGUCGACCAACAAUGCAGCAAGUGGUGAACCGAUUUGAAGUGGGCAGGCGAGAAUCAACUAGGCCUUUGCACACCAUUGCUGUGAAUCAGUUUAUAAAAGUAGAAACAUGACCAAGCACUGAGAUCAUUGCAUAUACCAUAUAGUGUACUAAUAAAAAUAGAAAAAAAAAGUGUAGUAAUUAAUGAAAAGGAACUCUUAUAUGCCGAUUAAAAGCCUAGGAAAUUUUGUCAUCAAUAUCUAAGCCAAAGGAGAUUCUACUUGUUGGGCUUUAUUUCCAGAUUUAUACUUGAUUCUUCAAAACUUUAUAAAGCGAUCAUACCGUCUACUCAUCUAAUUAACUGAGUACAUGGGGAGCUAUAAAGUGGAAUAUUUUGUUUCACCAUGUGAAGGGCAUCAUAAUAAUUUUUUUCUUUUUACCCAAAUAAGUAUUAUUUGUGCUAAUACUCCUAAUGCUUAUAGAUGUGAUUAACGAAUCAACUGCUCUACUUGCAGGCUACUUGGCAAGUUUAAAAUAGUACCAUUAUUCUUUUGGGAUCAAAAUUGUAUAAAUUUCGUCAAAAGUGAAAAUAACUACUUCUUGAACGAACUGGGCAUAAUCAACUAGAAAGGAAGGCAAGGACCCAUAAAGACAUAUCAUGCUGUACCGCUGAAGUUGUCGAUUGGGUCUAUUCGUGGGCAUGACAAAUACUUACAUGGACCACAGUCCACGAAACCCAACAGGCAUCGUCCAAAUUUUCUCUCCACGUUUCUACCUGAACAACUUUGACAUCCGAUAGGAAACUCAAUAAUAUCAUGUUUUUGGAAAAUAGAAACAUUGGAAAGGAAAGAUGGAACCGUCAUCCAAGUUGAAUGAAAAGAAAUAUUGGAAAGCAUUAUGGAAGUUGGAUGUUCCUCCGAAGCUUAAAUGUUUUGCAUGGAGGUUGAUCAUGAAUAUCUUACCCACAGCGGUGAAUUUGAAGAAAAAGAUGCAGGGCUUUUAAUUCGUCAUGCCCUUGUUGUGGAGAGCAGCAGGAACAUGAUCGUCAUGUUUUCUUUGACUGCAAAUUUGCAAGACAAUUUUGGGAUCUCACAGACUUGUCCAUAGACUUUCAAAAGAUUAAAGCAUCAUGCAUGAAGGAACUCAUGGGAAUUAUUUUUGAAUCUGGUGAUAAAAUAGAAAUACAGAGUUUUGUAAUGACACUUUGGAUGAUCUGGCAUGCAAGGAACAAGCUCGUAUUUGAGGGAAUUUGCAUGAAGACAGAGGUGAUAGUGGACUGGGUGAGGGCAUAUCUAUGGGAAUUAAUCAAAGGAAUAGAAACAUGACCAAGCACUUAAAUUAUUAUUCUCUCUGUCCGAAAGAAAAUUGACAAAAGGGGAGAAAAAGUUUAAUUUAAGUACGUAAAUUGUUUUGAGUUGUUAUGAAUAGAAAAUUGAUAACAUUGAAAACUUUAAAAUUUUGAUCACAUUUAAUAGUGGUGAAAAAGUUUUUUUUUCUUUUUUUGGACGAUCAAUAGUGAUUCCCCACUUACCUUCAUGAUUGAUUUAAAUUCGUAACCUCUCAAUUAAAGGUGAAGUAUCUUACCAAUUAGGCUAUGCUUCAUUGUUAGAAACAAGAUUUGAAUGGUAAAAAAUAAUAGGGAAAUAUCUUUAAAGAGCGUGAUUUGGGCGAGGUAAUUGAGGAAAGUUUCAAUAAUGGUGAGAUAAUUUUCAAUUGUAAUUCAUCAAAAUAUAAAAAAAUCUGACCAAUAAGCUGACAGAGAAUCAUUCAAGAGUCUCAUACCAAAAAAAAAAAGUUUAAAAAAAAUAGUCUCAUACAAAGAUAAACUCAAUUUCAUUUAAUAUUUGUUCCAAAUUGUAGGCCUAUUUCCUUUUUAAAAGAGUAGUUAUCUUGAUAGUUUACUAAUAUGCCUACAUUUACUAUGUAAUAUUAUCAGCAAAAAUAUACUACUCCAUUAGUUAAUUAUUCUAGUUAGGAGGAAUAACAACACCGCCAAAAAAUAUAGAGCUGGAUUGUUUGGUAUCUUGAGAGAUGAAACUGAAGCUAUGGUGCUGGAUUGGAUUAGAAGAGUCAAUUUGAUCAAGUGCAUUGCCCAUGCAUUGUCCUACGUAGAGAUUCUUUUAAGAAUUGGACCGGUAAAAAUUCUCUUUUUGAUGGUGGACCGAAGUAUCAAAGUGUUAAGGAGUUUGGCUAGUGUUGGACCAAGUGCGCCAUGGGUUUGGCAGGGGGUCCAGUGGAUCAGGUGCAUCAUGGGUUUGACGGGAGGUCCGGUCGGUUAGACCAAGGAGUCAAAGAUUGGCAGGGUCUGGAAUGUAAUUUGGAUGUUGAAAAAGAGUGGGUCCAUAAAUGGGAAAAGAGGUGACCUUAAGUAAUAAGGUGGGCUUGCAUUGAGAAUUAAAGUAAAUUUGGAUACAAUAAUUUGUUUGGAGGGAUAGAAGAUAAUAAAAGUCAGGUAUGUGACAAAUCUGCACAAAUGGAAAAUUGCGGUCGUUACAUCUCACAACUUGCUUACACAUAGGGCUGCAAACGAGCCGAGCCGAGUCGAGCUUUGAGCUAAUCGAGCCGAGUCUCGACUAAAUUUUACCAAGCUCGAGCUCGAGCUCGAGCUCGACGAGCUGGCAAUUUUCGAGCUCGAGCUCGAAAAAAAUAAAAAAAAUUAUUUUAUUUUUAAAAAAAUAAAAAAAAUAAUAUUUUUUUCUGAAUAAAUAAUAAAAUAUUAAGGAUAUAUACGUAAUUUCGCUAUGAAAAUAAAAAAUUAAAAUAUAUUUAUAUAUAAUAUACGUAAUUUUAUUAUUAAAUAAAAAUAAAAAAUAUAUAUAAAUAUAUAUACUCAAGCUCGCGAGCCGGCUCGCGAGCUAACGAGCUUAAUAAUCUGAGCUCGAGUUCGAGCUCGAGGUUGACUCGAGCUGGCUCGAGCUCGACUCGAGCUCGAUUAAUCUCGAGCUCGACUCGAGCUUGACUCGAGCCGCUCGCGAGCGGCUCGAUUCGUUUGCAGCCCUACUUACACACAAUCUAUGACCACCAUUUUGAUAGAAGAGUUUUCUUUUUGUCGAUCUUUAUGUUCCUUUUAUAUUUUCUCUUUACCUUCUUUCUUAUUUAUUUUAAUGGUCACAUGAUAUGACAAUUUCCCUCAAAUGGGAAGGUAGAUUUAGUAAACUAAUUUAUCUAUCGGUGCCAAAAUGCUAAAAUUGUCAAAAACUAAAAUAUUUUAGUGGUGUAAUUGUCUUUACAUAACAUAACAGAUAAAGAUAGAAGUUGUUGUAUGCCAAACAGGAAUUGGACUUCGGGAUUAUUUUAUGUCUAUUUCGUGGAUACGGAAGACGAAUUAAAACCAAUAUCUAAUUAUGGAAGGGCAAGAUAUAUUUAAGCCUUUUUGUAAUGUCAUUUUUUCCUAUCAAACAACAUAUACGUGCCACCAAAUUUUCUACCCUCGUCACGAGACUCUCAAACAAUGCCAAAGAAAGUUCUGAUACUUUCUCUUUAUUCUUUGUUCUUUUACUGUUAAUCACAUUUAUAAGAUCUGGCAUUAGAUUUACCACAAAACUAAAGAGGACACUAUAGAAUUCAAAUUUAGGAUUCUAAUGAUAGUAAAUACGUGUAGGGUUAUAAAAUUGAAGAGAAAAAUAAUUACUCAAAAUAUUUAUGUGGGAGAAAAGAAGAUAAAUAAUUCACACUGUUAUUGAUAAGUUAUAUCAUAAUAAAACACUACAGAUACUCUUUUAAAAAAUACCUCAACUAAUGUCCUAUUUUAUAACCAAUCAGACUUAUAAAAUAAGAAAUUACUAUGUCAAGAAAUUAUCAAGUAAAACACAAAUUAUUAAAUAGGAAAACUACUAAAAACCCAUAAAACACAUGGCUACGAACCAUGGUGUUGAGGUUCAAAUCCCUUCUCGCUCACAACCGGCCCAAGAAAGAAGGGUAGAAUGGUGGGGAUAGCGAACUAAAAUUCCUUGGUAUUUUCACGAGUCAAGUUCGAGCCAUGGUAUUUUCACUUGAUCGAGCUCGAGUCCGAGUAGCACACAUAUCUAUCGAGUUCAAACUCGAAUGUGGUGCUACUCGAGCUCGACUCGACUUUAAUACACUCCUGGUACAGGCCUGGGCCUUGAUGUUUUCUGUUUCUAGUAGCACCAAGGCCCUGAUGUAUUGUAAAGCUUAUACAUAGCGUCCAUAAGGUUUUGAAUCUUAUGGCUUGUAAAGCUUGUAGUAGCCAUAAGCUUGUAGCAUCGCCACGGUUUGUAGUUAUCCAUCAGGCGAUUGUACUCUACUAAGCAAUAUUUCUGUCCCAAAUGCAAAUAGAGUCAUUGACUCGGAUUUAAGUUUCUGAAGUCUGAGGACCAACGUGUAAGAAAGGUCGCACAACAACUUCUAUUCUAGUGAAGACAGAUCUUUACUCUCAAAAGUGAAAUCAAAUCAAGACCAGAAAGAACACAUUUUUGCAAUUCUUCCACACAAUAUAUAGAUUGGAAAGACCUUGACUAAGACUUUAAAUGCAAGUCUUUUCAUAUAUAUAUCAUGUGGUCUUGUACAGUAACAUCGAUGGAUGUUGUACGUAGCAUGGUUGUUCUUCUCCCGAUACCAGCUACUGCGCGAGCAACGGAAGCAGCAACAAAGUCUAUCUGCUCUUGAUUACAGCAAAAAGCACGUAACGGGUCUUAGCAUGUAAUCUUUGUGGUUUACUCAUUAAUUGGUGGAUUACUAUUUCUAAUCCUCUGCAGGUCCAAGGUCAUGAUCAAUUUAAGAGAGAGCAACGAAAUUAAAAGGCAACAUCAUGCAUUUAAAACUUGAAUAGUAUAUCUUAUGCGUUACUAAUUAUUGUAACAUUGAUUUUGGCUUUCAAAAUUUGACCAAACAAUUUUCAUUUUGGGGAAAACUAAUCACAUAUAAGAUCAUGAUCAUAUGUAGACCUAUGCUAUGCACAAGAGAAACAAAUAACCGUGUAAUUCACUUUUCAAAAUUGGUGUCCAAAAAAGAAUUAUUGACAAAAUAUCAAGAUUGUGCUGGUCGGUCUACACAUCAUACCUAUUAUUACUAUAUCAUUUAUGACAUCAAAUGCUGCAUUUCGUGUUGCACAUUUUAAUCAAUUACACUAAUAAACAUUUAACUGUGCGCUUGUUAGUGAGUUAAAUGCCUAUGACCAGAUAGACCUAGUUAGGUAUGUCUGGACUAAAUCUAUAGAAAUGCAAACGAAGAAUCAUUACAGUUUAAACUCAUAUGUCUUAGCGUUCACAUGUCACGAAUUUGAUUGCCCAUAGAAGGCAAAAGAGAUUAAAAAAAAAAGAGUAUUGAAUUACUGGCAGCGAAAUGUACUUUUUAAGACCGAAACAUUACUAAUUUGCUCCCUUUCUCGCUAGUCUCAAACAACAAAAACGAAAGUUCUUGGAUUUUUAAAAUGCGCAUAUCACAUUGCUUUUAACAAUCCGUGUGAAUGAUGCAGAUUGGAAAGAUACUACUGGCUUGACUCCAUUUUAAAUGCGAGUUUUUCAGUCCAGACUACAUAAUCAGGGCGGGCGCUUACAUUUCAUCUAUCUUGUGUUAAUUACGGUCUUUCAUGGUACUAGCAUCGAUGGAUGUUGUAUGCAGCGGAUUUGUUCUUCUCAUGAUACUGGCUAUUGCACCAGUAGCGGCAGCAGCAGCAAAGGAGUCUGCUGUGAAUUUAUUGGAAGCUGAAGCACUGCUCAAGAGUGGCUGGUGGCGAGACGAUACUGCUGCAAGAAACGUCUCUGCCCACUGCCAGUGGCGUGGUAUCAUUUGCAACGAUGCUGGUAGUGUUACCGACAUACUACUUCCAAACUACGGAAUUCUGGAUGGCUUGACAAAUUUCAGCUUCUCUUCUUUUCGGAACCUGGUUAGACUAGAUCUCAGUGGAAAUAACUUUUACGAAGCUAUCCCAUAUCAAACAGGUGCACUCUCCAAACUCACCUAUCUCAAUUUGUCUUUAAACGAUCUUCAUGGCCAGCUCCCUUCUUCUCUAGUAAACCUUACACACCUAGCACAACUUGAUGUUUCUUGGAACUGGAUUGGAGGUUUAAUUCCUCCAGGUAUCGGAAACUUGACAGAUUUGGUUACUCUAGAUUUGAGCCAGAAUUGCUUUUGGGGCCGCAUCCCACCAACUCUUGGCCACUUGUCCAAUCUGGCCUCCAUUAACCUCAGCAAUAACUACUUCAGUGGGACAAUUCCUUCAGCUCUUUUUAAUUUGACAAAUCUUUCCCGGCUAGACAUUCACUUCAAUCCUGCAAUGGGAGGAUUUCUCUCAGAAGAAAUAGGAAAUUUGAAGAGUUUAGUUGAAUUAGACUUCAGUGGCCUUAAUCUUUCAGGAGCCCUCCCUUUAACUCUUUGCCGCCUAACCAAACUAGUAUCUCUUUCAGGUGCUGAGAAUCAAAUUCAUGGUUCCAUUCCCUCUGAAAUAGGAAAUUUGAAAAUUUUGGAACAUCUUGUCCUUGGGUCCAACCGGCUGACUGGUCAAAUCCCUCCGACCCUUCGCAAUCUGACUACUCUAGUUACUUUGAACCUCUCUUCUAACCAAAUAAGUGGUUCCAUACCUCUUCAACUUUCCGGUAUACCUUCUCUAACAUUUCUAGAUCUUUCCUAUAAUGCUUUGGAAGGUGAACUUCCGUGUGAGCUUGUCACUAAGUUUGGUUCAGAAAAUUUUGUCGGCAAUCCAGACUUGCAUCACGAUUCCACUCUUUGUGGCGAUCACAGACAUCACCCCCCAUACUACAUCAUAGGUCUUGGCGUGUCCUUCUUGGUGUUCUCAUUAAUUGGCGGAUUAGUGCUUUAUAUCUUCUGCAAAACCAAAGUCAAGAAAGUGGAACUUGAGCUGAUGGACAAUAAACACGGAGACAUUUUCAGAAUAUGGAACUAUGAUGGACAUAUGGCUUAUGAAGACAUAAUUAAAGCAACAAACGAUUUUGAUGUCUGUUAUUGCAUCGGGACAGGGGGUUAUGGCUCUGUAUACAGAGCUCGGUUGCCAAGUGGGAAAGUAGUGGCUUUGAAAAAGCUUCACCGUUUGGAAGGCGAGAAUCCAAAUUUUGACAAGAGCUUUAGGAAUGAAGCCGACAUGCUAUCUAAAAUCAGGCACAGGAACAUUGUAAAGCUCUUCGGAUUCUGCCUGCACAAGCGAUGCAUGUUUCUGAUUUAUGAGUAUAUGGACAGAGGAAGCUUGUUUUGUAUCUUGAGAGAUGAAACUGAAGCUGUGGAACUGGAUUGGAUUAAAAGAGUGAAUUUGAUCAAGGGCAUUGCCGGUGCAUUGUCCUACUUGCAUCACGAUUGUGAUCCGCCAAUCAUUCACAGGGAUGUAUCAAGCAACAACAUUCUUUUGAAUUCACAGCUCGAAGCAACUCUUUCUGACUUUGGAACUGCGAGGAUUUUGGAACUUGAUUCAUCAAAUCAAACGGUCACUGCAGGCACCUUUGGUUACAUGGCACCAGGUAGGUUACCUUGCUAUCCCAGAUCCCUUUCUGCUUUUCACCUUGUUUUUCAUAUUUUCUUGAUGCACAUUUUAGGCUUAACUUUCAAGAACAGAAAAGAAAAAAAAUUCUUCCAACUGAAACGAUUAUUAUUAUUAUUUUUGGAAUAGUAAGUCUAGAGUUGUCCCAGUUGAGAUUAACUUUAUCUGUAUCCAAAUAUAUACUUACUUGUCAAUGCAGAGCUAGCCUAUACCAUGGCGGUCACUGAAAAGUCCGAUAUGUAUAGCUUUGGCGUUGUGGUGCUGGAAACGCUGUUUGGAGAGCAUCCACGAGAAUUCCUUUCGUUCAUAGCAUCACAACCCAAUGAACCAAUAAUGUUGAAGGAUCUUCUUGAUGCCCGUCUGCCCCCUCCGACUAACCAUUUGGUCGUUCGAAAUGUGGCUGUUGCAACAGCGUUAGCCCUGGAUUGCGUCAACACAAACCCGAAAUGUCGACCAACAAUGCAGCAAGUGGUGAACCGAUUUGAAGUGGGCAGGCGAGAACCAACUAGGCCUUUGCACGCCAUUGCUGUGAACCAGCUUGUUAGUCCACCAGUACUUUCACUGCCUGACCAAACCUGCGCAGAUGGGAGGAGUAGCUCAAGCACCAUAAAUGAAUUCCAUGUGGAUAUCUCUGCGACUCUGCCAUCAUCCAAUUUUUCUAUCCAUGUUUCUACCUAAACAACUUUGAUAUCUGGUAGGAAACAGAAUAAGAUCGUGCUUUGCAAAAAUGGAAACUUGGCCAAGCACUUAGAUUGCUGCUACAUACGGCCAUUUGGUGUGCUAAUGAAAAAAAAAGUGUACUCAUUAAUGAACAAGUAGUUCAAGCACCAUGGAUGACUUUCAUGUGGAUAUCUCUGCCAUAUCCAAUUUUUCUAUCGAUGUGUCUACCUACCUAUAAUAUUUAUACCGAAGGAGAAUUUAUCACUUGUCUUUAUUUAUGUAGGUGAAUUCUAGGCAGAGCAACACUUACCAAUCUAACAAUUUGCAAUUCCAAGUCUAGAUUUAAAGAAAUAUUAGUUUAAGGAUUCAAAUAUACAAAACUCAUGCCAAAAAUGAUAGGAUCAGGUCAAUCCAAAGCUGUAUUUUUAAAAAAAAUAAGUUGCAUAAAUUCAAGCUUGCAUAGCCUAUAGGGAUAAUUUCAAAAACCUCCCUUGAAAUUUUUGACAAUUGCAGAGAUCUCCCCUCAAGUUUAUUAAAUUACACCUACCUCCCUUGCUUUUACUAUUUAUGUAACAAUAUAGGCCAAAAGGUGAUAGGUUGUAAUUUUAUCAUUUAUUUUAUAAUUAAUUUUCCCUAUUACCUGACUCUAUGUGAAUUAAUUGUUAGAUUCUACUCACUUUUAGUAUUUUGCAUUUAUUUCAGGGAGUAGAACGAAAAUAUGAUAACAAGUGCCAAUUUAAUAAAAAAAGAGUCCAAAUAAUAAAGCUUAAUCCAGGGGCAUUUUUGGAACAGGGAAACUUAUUCCCAUGUUGGUAAUUGCUACAAAGGCAAGGACGGCGCAGGUUUUCUGGGAGAGCUGGAGCACCACACAGGAGGUCCUCUCCGCAAGGAGGCCGGCGGCACGGUGCAGAGAGGCUACUAAAGACGAAAUAGAAAUUGCAGAGGAAAGGCAAUAGCUUUAGCUUAGUUUUUGAUGUUUUCUUUUCAUGUUUCUUGGUAGGACCCCUCCUGCACAUGUCUGGGCAAUUAGGAAAGCUUUGACUUUUCUUCAGUUGCACUCUUAGUACUUUCUUUUCCUUCUCCGUAUGUCAUCCCAAGUGAAACAGAGAAUCACUUCUUCUAACUUUGCUAUCUCUUUUUGAUUGGAACGGAUUGAAUUCUCAAAAAUCAGUGACAAUGGCCGCAGCUUUCUCUUCAAUUUUAUAUGGGUUUUGUUCAUUAAAUAUGAACUAAUUUCUCCACUCUAGUCAAGAAAUGACGGAUGCUUUGGGUCGCUUAAAAUUGUGAGAUCGAUUUAAUUUUAUUUUUUUCUUUUAUUUAUUGGUAUUCGCAUAUUCCUUGAUUGUAAUGCUUAUGAUUAUUUAAUUAAUUGAUUGUCUUGGAUCCGGAUAAUUAGUUAAUUUGGUAAUCGAUUGUCAAUUAGGACAUUAAAUCCGUAAUUGCUUAAUUGCCCUAAAAUAGUGACAAUUGGCACGAUUAGAUUCGUAUCAGGGGGAUACGCGGGCUAAUCUGAAAUAACCCUGGUAGUGUGUUAUUUGGUUAGAAUAGGACUCCUCUAAUACGUAAGGCAAUUGGAGAAUUAAAUCUUAUGAGUGUACCUAGAAUUGUUUUUCAAUUAGAACAGUGAUUAACGGGCGUACCUUGAUCACCGACACAGUAAGGAGGGGUUGACUGUCAUCGUUUGUUUGGCAGUUAUAACCUAUUUAUUAGUAAAUAAUUGGAAUUGCUUUUGCAUCGAUGAUCAAUUAGGUGAACUAUUGCUAAAGUUAUUUCUUGGCUAGACCUUUAAUUAUUAUCACUCUGAUUUUAGUGAAUUGUCAUUUAAUUUGUAGUUAGCUAUUUAUUUUUAUUUGAAUUUAUUUGAUUGGCACUUUCCACACAAAAACACCCCCUGAUUACUGUGAAUUUGAAAAGAAGCAGCUACACCCAGUCCCUGUAGAUUCGAUCAUGCUUACCACUAUUUACAAAAAUUAACUUUAGUUGAGCAGGUCUUUAUUAUUGCACAGGCUGAUAACCUGUCAAAAGGCUAUAUUUUUUUUUUCAAAAAUCCUAAACUACCCUUUUUGUAUAAAAAUAAAACAAAAAUUAUUUUGCCAAUUCCUUUCUUUCAUAUUUCAACCGAACCCACUGUACUAACAAACUAACCUAACAAAUAGUCUAAUUCCAAAUUCUAAACUCAAGUAAUUCCAGCAUCAUAGUUAUAAAAUUGCUUCUCCCAAAGCAUGCAUUCAAUUUUGAAGAUUCGUUCCAUUCUUCAAAAAUAUUCUCACCAUAUGGUUACAUGGAACGGUCAAACUCACAAUUAACUGUUCUUAUGUUUGCAUAAUCUUUAAUAUAGGAUGCCAUGGUUUGAUUCCAUAUAAGUAGUUUAACUCCUACUACAUGAGCCACAUUGUGGUCUUGAAGAAAAUCCUUAGGGAAGAUUUAGGUAUGGAUGGGAUUAAUCAAGUUUAAAAAAAGGAAAGGCAUCAUUAUGACUUUAGAGAUCUUCAAAAAAUUCAUUGUGCCAAAAAUCAAAAUUCUAUUGACAAUUAAUUACACCCCAAACUUCAAACCUAAUGCCCACACUUUCUCAAAACAAAAUAAUUUAGCCUACUAUUAUAUCUCCAAACAUGUUAACGUUUUAAAUACAGAGAAGAAACUCUAUCUUCAUAACGAAAACACAACCAACAAUUGUCAAGCAUAAAAAGAAACAGGGUAAAAUACCAAAAACCCCCCUGUGGUUUGCCAAAUGUACAUUUUACCUCCCUAUAGUUUGAAAACCUACAAUUUAACUCUCUGUCGUUUCAACUAAAGUAAAAGUCUGACAGAAAACAUCUAAACUAAUGUCUGAAUGGAAAAUGUCAAAAUUGCCUCUCUAUAAGUCAAUUCCUCGGAAGAAUGUUUCGUGCAUUUGAGAAUGGGUAAAAUACCAAAAAUCCCCUUGUGAUUUGCCAAAUAUACACUUUACCUCCCUAUGGUUUGGAAACACAUAGGGUAUCAUUGGCAAGUGAAAAUAUUAUCGCAACCACAACUCUCAGCAGGGGUGCGUGACACUCAAAUACCGUUAUUGUAGAUAUUUUCUGUCAGACUUUCACUUUAGUUGAAAUAACAGGGAGUUAAAUUGUACAUUUCCAAACCAUAGAAAGGUAAAGUUUACAUUUGGCAAACCACAGGGGGGUUUUUGGUAUUUUACCCAAAGAAAUAUAAAUGUACUUAUUGACAUCUUAAAAGAUUUUUUGGAUGGAUGAUAGACAAAUUAGCAAAUUUAUCAAUUUUAAACGCUCUCCCUCUUUUGACCAAUGAUUGCAUUAUUUAUUCCAUUAUUAUUGUGUGUCUCUUCAUUUCCUUUUAAUUUGACCAAUCUCUUAAAUAAACUUGUGAUUUGACAAUUUCAAAAAGAAGAAAAGAGAAAUAGAAAUAUAUAGUAGGGUGUGAUUGGCUGCAAUUAUAGGUAAUGGUUGGUGGUAAUUUGAGAGCGAAUUAUAGGAAGAAGGGGUUGAUGAAUGAAAACAGAAUGCUAGUAAGCGAGAGAAUCGUCGUUAGCUGUAACUUGUAAACAGGAUAGCCGAAAAGGUUAAGUUUCUUUUUCUUUUUUUUUAAAUCUCAUUUCAUUAUACUAUGAAUUAUUUAUUAAGUGAAGGUCAUUAUAGUCAUAUUAUUGUGACAAGAGAGGUUAGUGUAAUUUGUAAAACUUGAGGGGAGCCAAGUGAAAUUGUCAUAACCUCAAGGGAGGUUUGUGAAAUUAUCCCUAACCUAUAACCUCAUUUAAAAUUUGAACUCUAAAUAUGUAGCAUGCAUUUGCCUUUACUAGUUAAAAGAGAAAAAGGAAUUUCACACGUAAGAAAUUAUUGAAACAUAAAUGGUGCAAACUUUCUUUUUUUAAAAAAAAUUAAUAUAAAUGUGCGAGUUUUUAUCAAUCUCUAGUUUGCCAUAUAAACAUAGAAUGAUUUUCAUAUGAAUUUAUUAUAUCACCUAGUAGUUUUAAUUCACUAAACUCAACCACAGAAAAGAAAAAACAGGAACAUCAAGUUUCGAAAUAUGGAACCUAUAUUCAGCGGGCUACUAUUUUGGUGCUUAUGACCCCAUAAGUCGAUUGCUGCAAUUUUUUACUUCCUCCUAGGAUGGCCCCAAAAAAAAAAAAAAAAAGAGUUUCCCGGUUGCUCAUCAAUUGAGGAAAACGCUGGUGAUUCCCUUUUUUUUUUUUGAGGAAAAAGCUGGUGAUUCCUUAUUGCUUCCUGGAUUUUUAACCUAAAGUGUAUAAUAGCUUGAGAAAACGUUGUACUAUUAAGGGUCCGUUUGUUUCGGGUGAAAAUGUUUUUCAGAAAAAUAUUUUUCUAAUUUUCCGUGUUUGGUUGCACAAAAGUUACUGAAAACAUUUUUCUAUGUAAAAUAUUUUCACUCAUCUUAUGGAAAACAACUUCCCUUCCAAACUUACUGAAGUUGUUUUCCGAAAUGCAUGCAUCCCGCCUGUAGUAUGUUUCAAACUUGCUGAAAACAUCUUGUAGUAUGUUCUUUUUUUUUUUUAGUGUAAACAGGAGGACUCGAAUCCAAGACCUCUUCCUUACACUCCCUCCCCCGUACCACCCAACCCAACCCUCCCCCUAGUAUAUUCAAAAUAAAAAAAAAACUCCACCCUGCUCAUCCUAUGCUAGUAAUUAAUUAUGUAUAAUAGGGACAUUCUUUUCUAGAAAAACUUCCAGCAAUAAGAGUGUAAGAUAUAUGUUACAAUAAGCAUUGCAUGUGAUUGAUAUUUGACACUAAAUGACCAGCAAUUUGUUUAUUGUUUAAAGAGAUAUUUUUUAUUCAUAUAUACAUUUCUCCAAAAUUUUUUAAAGUUAAAUAAUGAGAUAAAUUUUCUUAUUUUAUAUGGGAAGAAGUAUGUAGUUAUAAUGUGUAGAAAGUAAAGAUAGAGAUAAAAGUGAAAAUAUUUCAAAAGUUAAACAAACACCAGAAAAAUGAAGUAAAAAAAUAUUUUCAAUAAGCUAACCAAACACUUGAAAAUGAUGAAAGGGAAAUGAUUUUCAUGAAAAAUUACUUCCACGAAAAAUAUUUUCCCAAGGAAAAUAUUUUACUUCUAACCAAACAGACCCUAAAAGAAAUUCUGGAGCACAUCAAGUACCCCAUAGCAUCCAAGUAAAACAGCGACUUGAUAUGUGCAAGGAGGCAGGGGAGGUGGCUGUUGGGUUGGAGUGGAGUGGACAUUUGCGUUGGGUUAGUGGGCUUAUUAAGUUGUUUACAGAAUGGUUGGUAAAAAAAAAUUAUGGUUGGGUGUGCAGAUGGUUGAUGAUACUGUUAUACCUGGUACGCAUUCAGAAUCUGCUUCUAAGAGUAGAACUGAUAUUUUGAGUAAUCUUGACCUUUCUUCAUAUGUGAACCAAGGAAUGCCUCUGCCUGGGUGUAUUGUUCACCAAGAAACCUAGUCUCAUGUUUCUGGUAGAUUCGAUGAUUAAAAUGGUUCUUGCAAAUAUACUUUUGGAAGAAAUUGGUGGCCACCUUCUGGUUCAUUUGCCGCCAACCAUCCAGUUUGACCUGCUUAUGGAAGAAGUUGGAGGCCAUGAUAAUUGAAUGCAGGAUCUGUAAACUGCUGUAAAUGAAUGCUAGCAAAGUUUUAUCAAUUAAUGUGUAUAUUGCUCCUCAUAGUCGAAAUAGUGAUGCCUCCCUGCUGACAAAUUGACCAUCUUAUAUUAGCUUUUGGAAUUUGGAAAUCUUCUGGUUGCUUGCAAGCUUCUUAACAUACAUUGUAGGAUAUACUAUACUUCUUGUACAUGUAAAAAUUUUCAGGAGGUGCAAAAAAAGACACUUGGUUUAUAAUUCUAUUUUACAACAAAAAAAUGCAAAAAUAAAUAAACAAUUAUUAUGUAGUUAGCUAAUUUGGCUUUUCUUUUCUUAGCUAACCAUAUGUUCCAAAGCAAACAUUCUGGUAUAAAAAGCUAUACGUGCAAGUAUUGUGCAUGAAUGGAAAUAUAGAAAUAUAUUAGUAGAAGGCUAAUAGAAAGUUAAGUUAUGCUAUAAAUGUUAUGCACUUAUUAGGUUAGAUCCCAUCUCCCUUUAAUUUUUUUAUUAUUAGAAAAUGAUAAACAGUAUUAGCAGAUGUAGUUUUGUAAGUUCCAUAGAAAACCUUAGGGCUUCACACUGUUAUAAUUUUGUUAAAUUUUUGGACAAUUUUGCCCUCCCUUUACUCCCAUGACGGUGAAGUUGCUAAGCCUUAGUUACAAUUUUUCUUCCUAUCCAUCCCUUCACCCAUGAUCCGAUAUCACUACUCCAAAACCCAAACAUCCAAUACCAAUGCGAAUGCUUCACUCAUACUUUUGCUUCCUCAUUUCUGGCUUGAGAUUAGAUGAUCAAGCUAUACACAGUACACACCAAUUCUUAAAGAGGUUGGUACUCGAAGAAAUUCCGGAGAAGUUGAGAAGCAGAAACCAACCAUGAUAGUAAAGUGGGCAAGGGAAAGCCAUGCAAACAUGCCCAUUGAUUGUCGACAAACCCUUAGUCAUCAUUUGGUUUUUGAUUAGACAAAUAUGAACUCAGCAUUUGUUUCAUGUAAUGAUAGCCAUAAAGGAAUCUUGAAGGCUAGAAAGAUUUCUCGUGACUCUCUCAAAAGAAAGAAAGUUCUGAUGCUUCUUUUCUUUUUUUGUCGUAACUUAGGUCAUUCUUUCUUUUAGUCUCCUAAACUGACAAGCUAAUUGUCUCCCAUUUCACGGUUCUCAAACAACAGUGACAGGGUGUCGACACCUGUGCAAUAAUAAAAACCUACUCAAACUAAAAGUAAUUUUUGUAGAUAGUGGUAAGUAGGGUCGAAUCCACAGGGACUGGGAGUAAUUGUUUCUUUUCAAAUUCACAGUGAUAAGGGGGUGUUUUUAUGCAGAAGGCGACAAUCAAAGUAAAUCAAAUAAAAUCUAAGAAACUACUAGAAAUUAAAUAACAAAUUACUAAAAUCAAAUGAGUGAUAAUUAAGGAUCUAACCAAGGAAUAACUUCAGCAAUGGUUCACCUAAUUGAUCAUCGAAGCAAGGGCAAUUCCAAUUAUUCAUCAAUAAAUAGGUUAUAACUACCAAACAAGCGAUGGCAGUCAACUCCUCCUUACUGUGUCGGUGAUCAAGGUACGCCCGUUAAUCACUGCUCUAAUUGAGAAAUAAUCCUAGGUACGCCCGUAAGAUUUAAUUUCCCAACUGCCUUACGUACGAGAGGAGCACUAUUCUAACCAAAUAACGCACUACCAGGGUUAUUUCAGAUUAGCCCGCGUAUCCCCCUAACACGAAUCUAAUCGUAUCAGUUGUCACUAUUUCAGGGCAAUUAAACAAUUACGGAUUUAAUACCUCAAUUGACAAUAGAUUAUUAAAUUAACUAAUUAUCCGGAUCCAAGACAAUCAAUUAACUAAACAACCAUAAGCACUGCAACCAGGGAAUAUGCAAAUACCAAUAAAUAAAAGAAAAAGAUAAAAUUAAAUCGAUCUCACAAUUUUUAGGCGACCCAAAACAUCCGUUGUUUCUUGACUAGAAAAAGGGAUUUAGUUCAUCCCUAAUGAGGAACACUCACACGAAGCGGAAGGAACAAUUGCAGCCUUUGUCAUUGACCGGGAAAACUCAAUUCGCUUCAAUAAGGAAAAAGAAAGAACAAAGCUACAGCGAAUGAUUCAUGGUUUCUCAUGGUCUCUGACAUACGAGAAGAAAAUCACUAAGGAACGGAAAAAAUGGAAAAAGUCUAAGUGAAAACCUAAUCUAGAGCUACGAGACAAAAGUCAAAAGCUAAAAAACAAGGUAGUGCUCAAUGUCAGCCAUAUAUCAAUCGUUCCUAUUCUAAUUGCUACUGUGCGGCGUCCGCCGCCCAGCCGAGAGCGGAAAAAGAAGACUUCAGCCUCCCCUUUUUAAUGUUGUCUUCGGGCCAAUUACCAAGAAGGGUCGCGGUUUGAUAUUUCAAAAAUGUCCCUAGAUGCCUGCUACUUGAAUUCUUUUUUGAUAACUGCCAAAUUGACAUUUGUUAUGGUAUUUUCGUUCUACUCGCUGAAAUAAAUACAAAUUGUCAAAAGUGAGUAAAAUCUAACAAUUAAUCCACAUCGGAUCAGGUAAUAGGGAAAAUUAAUUAUAAAAUAAAUGAUAAAAUUGCAACCUAUCAAUUUCCCCCACACCUAAACCAUGCUUGUUUUCAAGCAUGAUAACAGCAAACAAACCGAAUGUUUGACAAAGACUAUUGCCCUACCUACCAUAUUGCCAAGACACCAAGAAAAACAUAUAUCAAGCAUCAAUGGUCAAGUCCAAGAAACAUCACUCCGGUUAGCUUCUAAACCACAAACUCCUCUAAUUUCAGGUUAACUAAUCUAAGAAAAAGGAAUGACGCACAACAUUUAUCAGCAAAUGGUCCAACUAUUAACAAAAAUCUCAAUAUUAAAUUCAUAAAUCGGCAAGCUGACUUUUAUUAUACACUAACACAACUUUCAACUUUUUUUUUCACGUUUUUCUAUUUUUCUUUUUUUUUUCCUUUUCUCAAUAGUAACAAAAGACUUAGUCGCUAGCAAUUGGAGCCUUUUGAUGUGAACUCCAACAUUUUUAGAUGAAGGAGCCCGGUUAUUCAGCUCUUAUCGUUAUACGACCACGUACUCAUAGAAAGUACUACCUUUUUACGCGAGAAUCAACACUUUUAGGUGCAGAUCCCUGGUUACUCAAUAGUAACUAAUAGCGGAGUACAUUCAAGUUUAUUUAUAGCUAGAAAUCAAAAACUCAAUAUAACACAAGAACCAAAAGAAAGCAUGCAUCAGCUAGCCUCAUUUCAAACAUGGAGAACUAAAGUUAAUAAUCGGACCACUUCACAUGAAAAAGCCAACAAUCAUUCCCUAUACCUAGGAAAGUUAACCAAAAAUUAGAAAAGUUAAUCAAUUACUGAUAUUCACCAGAGGGAUAUUUCUGAACUCAACCACAUUAACUUGAUACCCUUUUAUUACUAAAACUCGGCAAUAGCAGAAAUAGAGGCAAUAAUCCAACAUCAAACUUUGGUAUCACUUAUGAGCUAAUCACUAAAAAGGAAGAAAGAAAUUGAACGAGAGGUGGACAAAUAGCAAAUUAAAAAAAAGAAAGCAAAAACAUCUAAAAAAAACUAAAAAGUAGAAAAACUAGCACAACUGCCCCCCACACCUAGAUCCUACAUUGUCCUCAAUGGAGGAAAUAAAGCAAUUAUAGUGAAAAGGACAACGAAACUUCCCUCUCAAGUGGCUACGGGAUAGGCGGGGACGAUGGAGGGAAACCGAUGUGGUGGAAAUACGCGCCCAAGUUCUGAGUCAUCAUAACUCAAUUCAACCAGUAAAUGCAAAACUCUGUCCACCCAAAAUCUCAACAAAGCCUCCAAAUAGACAGUUAAUUUCUCAACUCAAAAGCAACAAUUCCAGUAAUAGCAGUAUAGAAAUUGGAGAAUAACUACACAAUCACAAUCAGGUAGCCAACCAAUUGGAAAUAACAAAUGCUAGUCAAAAUACCCCAACCAGUACCACUGGUGCAAAUCACAGUCCAAAAUGAGAGAAAUUGCUAUAGCAGAACAAAGCAGUAGUAAAUCGACAGCCCCAAGUAUUAACCCAAUCGUAAGAUAGAGAAUGCGCCAGCAACCAAGCAAUAUCAGGGCAGGGCAAUAGUCAUCUAUGUCUCCCAAUUCAUCAGGCAACAACGGCUCCCAAAUUUACAGGUAAAAGUAGACAAAGGUCAACCAGAAUCCCAACAAAUGGUCCCAAUUUGACAAUUAACCGCACACUGUUAACCAACCCAAAAGAAGCAUCAAAUUGAAGUGAAAACAAUCCAACCAGUACCACUGGCGAAAAAUGGAAUGCACAACCCAAUCAAACAGCCCCAAGAAAGAACAAUGCAAUCAAUAAUAACUCAUAAAUUCGACAGUAGCAGAGUAAUUCCAAGUGCCCAGCCUCCAACAGUCAGCCAAAAGAGUAGAAGUGACCCAGUGAAGCCAAAAUGCCCAAACAGUGGAUGAAACAAGUUCAACGGCUAACCCACACUAGUGAGACCUCCCAAAUAAUGUAACUCAAUUCGGACAACAAGCAACGUAUCCACAGGAUUCUCAGUCAAAUCUAAUAAUGAACCCCAGCAUUUCAACUAGAUGCACUGAACUGGAAUAAGCGAUGUAAAUGGUAUAGAAGCCUCCCAAUUUAACAAACAAGUGCAAUAUUUCAACUCACCCAAAUUCUCAACAAAUGGCUCCAGUUGGCCAGUUAAAGUUUUAACUCAAAAUUAGCAAUCUCAAUGAUAACAGUUUAGAAAUUUGACAAUAAUAACUCAGACAACCAAAUGAAGGUACCAAAUUCACGUCCAAUUUACCCCACCAGUACCACUGGUGGAUUCCUCAGUAAAAGAAAACAACUCCGCGUCCUGCUCAAACAAAAGACGACCCCAAACAACACCAAAUACUACUAAGGAGUUGGGGAACGAAUGUCAAAUACCUCAAUUGUUUGAUGGUCAAAAGAAGUGGGAUAGGCACGACUCCUGGCGUGCAUGCGUGAGCGAGAAACAGCGACUGUGGGAGGCGCGGCUUCGCUAGUGGCUUGCGAGGAAGAGGUCGCGCUGCAAUGUGGAGGAAGGUGGUGACAGUCGCUGGAGUGAGAUCGGGGAAGAGGAGACGCGCGGCUGGUUGACUGCUGGAGUGGAACUGAGCGCAGGUGGAGCCUGGGUGGCAGUAGUGGAGCUCGACGGUAGUGGCUGCGGGUGGAGGGUGAGAUCGAGAGGGAGAAAAGCGUGAGCUGCUGGUGGCGCUGCCUGCUGGGCAGAGGCGCGCGAGCUCCAGCAACGGUGAGGGCGGUGUCACGCGAUGGUGGUUGUCACUGGUGCAAGGGCAGAGAAAAGAUGUCACGGCUAUGAAGUGGAGGAGUGGACUGCGCGGAGCAGCGGGCUGUGGCGCGUAGCCAUGGUGGCGUGCGGGCUUGGGCAGCGGCGGCGCACGAUGCUGCGGACGGCGGCGGCCAAUGGGUUUGCUGUGGUGGAGUCGCGGGUGGAGAGAUGGCGGCGGGCAUGAGGUGUGCUCGGCCGACAGAGAGGAAGAAAAAACAAGGGAAGAAAGAAAGAAAAAGGAAGAAAAGAGAGAAGAGAAAAAAAAUGUUUUUUUUUUUUUGAAAUUGAGAAACCUAGCUACGGUUGAAAUUUUUUUUCUUUUUUUUUUUGUUUACAUUUUUUUUUUUUUUGCAAAUGUUAUUUUCGAAAUUCAAAAUUAGAGAUUAACCGAAAAUCAAUAACCGUUCUUGAGUUUUUUUUUUUUUUGAAUACUUACCUUUCCCGCGAAUGUGACGUGGGCACGUUAUGAAGGCACGGAAUCUGGAACUCUCCAUAUGACAUGACACGGGUACAUCAUGAGGGCAGGAACCCCUUCUGACGAUUCUGACUGUGAGCUCUCCAGACGUCAUGACGCGGGCGCGUCAUGACAGAAAGACACCUACAAAUUAUCAAAAACGAAAAUUGAAACCCGAAAUCAAUCAAAUUCAAGGAAAACAUAUUUAAAUUAUCACACGAAAUCAAAAUAAACAAUUAAAAGGAAUAAUUGGGUUGCCUCCCAAUAAGCGCAUUUCUUUAAUGUCUUUGGCUAGACAUUAUCAUGUUUUGCUCAUGGAGGAUAAAAUCUUGUGGCUCGUUUCAAUGCUUCAUCUUCAAUGUGAUCCUGGUAACCCUCAUAGAUGGAGUAAUUUUUGAACACACGAGUUACGGUCUUCCAUGGACUAGUUGAUGGCGCCAAAUAAUCAAGCAGUGAUCUCAAUUUUUCAUCCACUCCUCUAUCAAGAGCACUCAACGGUUCAAGAUAUUUGACCAUAGCUACUUUUAACUUAUUUCUGCCAUGAGACUCAAAAACUUCCGAUAUAACAAAAUCAAUCUCAUUAACAGAAAUCAUGGAGUAAGAGUUAAGAAAAUGUGGGUUAGGUAAUGGAGGUGGUGUCACCAUAUUUGAUGAUUUUUCACUGGAUUCUUUCACUUGAAUGGGUUGCGGUUGAGGUACCAUUUCUUCCUUUUCGGCUUCUUUUUCAACUGCAUCUGUAGAUUUCUCAUUUUGACACUCUUGCAUCUCCUCAUCACUAGUCAAGCAAAUUGCAUUCUCAUUUUCUUCUAGAUCAACAAUGGUUUUCGAGAGCAAUUCUUCCAUUUGAGAAGCCAAUCGAUUUAUUCUGGAUGCCAAUAGACAUGGUUGAUCUGCCAGAUAACUCAUUGCAUCCUUCAUCAUCUCAUUCCUCAUUUGUGUCUCCUAUUGGAAUUGGUAUGUAUUAGUAGCUAUUGAUUCAACUAUUUCUUCAAGAGACAUACCUGACAUAGAUAACGAUUCUUGAGACUCAUAUUGCUGAAAAUUCAUUGGCCCCGUUGUAUAAUUAUAAUUGGAGUUAUCCCACCAUCCUUGAUCAUACCCGUUUAGAUUAGGGUUAUACCACAUUUGAGACCAGGGUGAAAAAUCUCCAUAAUUAUUGAAUGUGACACUCAGAUUAUCUUGAUAUUCGGGGCACAUACCGGUUGAAUGAUCCCUGGCAUAACAAAUUUUACAGGUUGUAGCAGCCAUUCUUUCUCUAAUAGAGUUUAGUGCCUCUGCAUAUGCAAACUCAGAAAAAAAACAAGCCUCAUUGCCUUCCCUGGAAACAAAAUCCAGUCUAUCAGCAGAAUACGGAGUGUUAGAAGCCAUAAACUAUAUAAAAAAAUAAGAGAAAAAUAAAUAAAUAAAUAAAAAACAAGAUGAACUCAAAAAGAAAUAAAUUAAUCUGGCACCAGUCCCCCGCAACGGCGCCAAAAAUUGACAGGGUGUCGAAACCUGUGCAAUAAUAAAAACCUGCUCAAACUAAAAGUAAUUUCUGUAGAUAGUGGUAAGCAGGGUCAAAUCCACAGGGACUGGAAGUAAUUGUUUCUUUUCAAAUUCACAGUGACAAGGAGGUGUUUUUAUGCAGAAGGCGACAAUCAAAGUAAAUUAAAUAAAAUCUAAGAAACUACUAGAAAUUAAAUAACAAAUUACUAAAAUCAAAUGAGUGAUAAUUAAGGAUCUAGCCAAGAAAUAACUUCAGCAAUGGUUCACCUAAUUGAUCAUCGAAGCAAGGGCAAUUCCAAUUAUUCAUCAAUAAAUAGGUUACAACUACCAAACAAGCGAUGACAGUCAACCCCUCCUUACUGUGUCGGUGAUCAAGGUACGCCCGUUAAUCACUGCUCUAAUUAAGAAAUAAUCCUAGGUACGUCCGUAAGAUUUAAUUCCCCAACUGCCUUACGUACGAGAGGAGCCCUAUUCUAACCAAAUAACGCACUACCAGGGUUAUUUCAGAUUAGCCCGCGUAUCCCCCUGACACGAAUCUAAUCGUGUCAGUUGUCACUAUUUCAGGGCAAUUAAACAAUUACGGAUUUAAUACCUCAAUUGACAAUAGAUUAUUAAAUUAACUAAUUAUCCGGAUCCAAGACAAUCAAUUAACUAAACAACCAUAAGCACUGCAACCAGGGAAUAUGCAAAUACCAAUAAAUAAAAGAAAAAGAUAAAAUUAAAUCGAUCUCACAAUUUUUAGGCGACCCAAAACAUCCGUUGUUUCUUGACUAGAAAAAGGGAUUUAGUUCAUCCCUAAUGAGGAACACUCACACGAAGCGGAAGGAACAAUUGCAGCCUUUGUCAUUGACCUGGAAAACUCAAUUCGCUUCAAUAAGGAAAAAGAAAGAACAAAGCUACAGCGAAUGAUUCAUGGUUUCUCAUGGUCUCUGACAUACGAGAAGAAAAUCACUAAGGAACGGAAAAAAUGGAAAAAGUCUAAGUGAAAACCUAAUCUAGAGCUACGAGACAAAAGUCAAAAGCUAAAAAACAAGGUAGUGCUCAAUGUCAGCCAUAUAUCAAUCGUUCCUAUUCUAAUUGCUACUGUGCGGCGGCCGCCGCCCAGCCGAGAGCGGAAAAAGAAGACUUCAGCCUCCCCUUUUUAAUGUUGUCUUCGGGCCAAUUACCAAGAAGGGUCGCGGUUUGAUAUUUCAAAAAUGUCCCUAGAUGCCUGCUACUUGAAUUCUUUUUUGAUAACUGCCAAAUUGACAUUUGUUAUGGUAUUUUCGUUCUACUCGCUGAAAUAAAUACAAAUUGUCAAAAGUGAGUAAAAUCUAACAAUUAAUCCACAUCGGGUCAGGUAAUAGGGAAAAUUAAUUAUAAAAUAAAUAGUAAAAUUGCAACCUAUCAAACAGAUAGGAAAGUUCUAAUAUUUCCUCUUUUCUUUUUUGUGGUAACUUAGGUCAUUCUUUCUUCUUUCGUUUUUUAAUCUCCUAAACUGACAAGCUAAGCCUUAUCUGCUAAAAUUUACAAUUAAAUAUUUUUUUUAGAGCUGCCCUUAAUAUAAUACUCCUUAGCACAAAGAGAGCAAUAAAUAUAAUGGAGAACCAUAAGAGGAUAAUGGAGUAUGUUUUAAAAUUGAAAAUGAAAAUGUUAUGAGUAAUUUCCUUUUAAUUGUACCGCAUUUGUUGAUUUUUGGCAAACCAUAUCAAUUCAGUUGAAAUUCAAUUAGUAAAAUUCUGUACUUAUUAGAAGUCCUAUUCUGACACCCACAUUAGUUCUAAGUAGUAAUGGAAGAGUUCUUAUAUUUUUUUUCCCCACUUCUUGAAGACUGUCUAUAAUUCUUUUGCUCUAUAAGAACAGUUAAUGGCAUUUUUAAGAAAUUCCACACAACGUACACUUCAAGUUUGAAGGCUGACCUUGACUCUCGAAAGUGAAAUCCAUGAAUCAAGACCAGAAAAACUGCAUUAAUAUUGCGAGUCUUCCAGCUUGAGGGCCAGUGUGUUUAAUGGCAUUUCUAAGAAAUUCCACACAACAAUUCUAGUGGAAGACGGAUCUUUGGCUCUCAAAAGCGGAAUCAGAUCAAUUCCAAGUCAUACACAUUAAAACGCGUAUGUCAUGGUGCUCGUUUAACUCUCCAUAUGUAGUCUUUAAAUCCAGACUGUCUACGAGCCUUGAGGCUUUCUGUUCCCUCAGGUAUUGUAAGGCUUGUAGUAUCGGUAAGGUUUUGAUCAUGGUUUUUUUUUUCCCCCCUUUUUGCUCUUAUUGACGAUUGUCUACAAUUCUUUUGAUUUAUAAGAACAGUCAAUACAGCUAAAAGCAGCAUCACAGAUUGUCUACACUUCGAGUUUGAAGACGUAUGGACAUUGACUCUUAAAAGCAAUCAAUUAAUCAAGACCACAAACACUGCAUUGCGCGACUUCCAAAUCAAACCGCAUGCUUUAACUAUCCAUAUCACUGUCACUGAUUUUAAAUGCAGAGUCUUUCAAUCCAGACUACUGUACUUAGAGUGCUUAUACAUUUCAUCUACCUUACGGUCUUACAUUUAUUUUUGACGUGCGGACUUUAACUGCCUGAUGUUCCCUGCUGUAUUGUAAGGCUUGUAGUAUCGGUAAGGUUUUGAUCAUGGUUUGUAGUUUAACCAUGAGUUUAACUUGGAAGGCAUGAUGCCAAAAGAGAUUGUAGAAUCUCUCACAAUUAUAAGUUUACAAUGUGGUAUAGAGUUUCAGAAUAACUAAAUGUCUGCAAUGAGUAGACCACUUUAUUCGAUGUUAAAACAAUUUAAAGAAGAAUUAUCUACAAUUUGUUUUUAAUUGCAAUAAUUAUAAGGUCAUCUAAUCGUAUAAUAAUUAUUAAAACUAUACAUAAAAAUUGUAUAAAAGUGCACAAUAAUAAAUUAUGCAUUUAGUGCUGGACGUAUAUUUUCAUAUACGCAAUAGGCAGAUAAUGUAUACACAGUUUAACUAUCAAAUGAAUGUUUAGUUAACUUGUAAUUCGUAAGGUUAAGAAAAGUUUAAUGUUACGUGCAUAAGAUUUGUUAGAAAGAAAAUAAAAAUAGCAUUCUAUAAUAUAUUUUAUUUUAAUGUUGCAUUGUAGAAAUGGUGGUGAUAAUUGUAUAAAAUUUUAAAACUUUUGUUAGGCAAUUGUGGGGUUAGAGGAAAUAUUACCAAAUUUCAAGGGGUGCAAAAGUGAGGCAACAAUAGGAAAAAACUUUUUAUAGACUAUUCUAAAAUUUCUAAAAAAAAAAAAUUGAGAAGGUCCAAUUGGGCUGGCUAUGGCUCCACCUAUAUAUAUAUAUAUAUAUAUAUAUAUAUAUAUAUAUAUAUAUAUAUAUAUAUAUAUAUUCUCAUGUUUUGCGGAGUGGAUUUUGUUAUCUUUUUGCCAUGUGGCAAACCAAAUUAUAAAUAAAUUGUUUUUUUAUUUUUUGUGGAUUUUAUUUUUGUCUUUUUUUCUUGGCAACCAAUCUAUUAAUUACUUACCUUAUAUAAGUUUGUAUGUUUGUACCUUCUUUAUUUUUUUGUUAAUCAACUCAUCUUUUCUUUUUUUUUUUAAUCCUCUUCAAGCACUUUUUCUAUUUUUAUUAUUGGUUUGAUCAUUCAUGAUCAUUAAUUUGGACAAAUUAUUGGUUUUGAUCAUAAUUGGUGCAUUAUAUCAUAAACAUAAUUCAAUAAUUUCAUGAAAUUAACUUUUAGGGAAAAUGGCCUGUUUCAUCCCUCACGUUUUGCAAAAAUAUUCUUUUUGUCCCUCACUUUUAAAAUGAAGCAAAUUCAUCCCGGAUAUUUAAAAAUUAAAGCUAUUACAUCCCUGAACUUAAUUUUCAAUCUGAAUCAAACCAUCCAAUAACCCAGUAAUAAAUUUCGGAAAUAGAAUUGAUAGAUCAUUCGGUCAAUUUCAUCAUAUUCACAUGACAUUUAUUAAAUCAAAUAAAUAAAAAUUAUAAAAUAAAAGGCCAUUCUUUGUCUUAGAAUAGUAGAGUUUUUUUUUUUGGUAAAUCUUUUUAUGCACCGUUAGUAUAUCCGCUUGCGAAUCUAGAUGUGUAUCAUAAAUAUAAAAUUUGGUGUUCAAAUUUAAAUUAAAAUGAUAUGGCGGUACAUAAAACCGUCAAUGUAUACAAUGAUAAUGUAUGAAAGAUUAAUCUUUCUUUUUUAUGUUAUAAUUUUUUAAUUUUAAUUUUUAGGUUCAUUAAAUUUCACAUGAAUAUCAAGUUGAGUUAACCAAAUGAUCUAUCAAUUACACUCCAAAAUUUGUAAUCAGGUUGAUUGGUGGUUUGAUUCAAAUUGAAAUUUGGGUUCAGGGAUGUAAUAAUUUCAGUUUUUAAAUAUCAAUGACGAAAUUGUUUCAUUUUAAAAGUGAGGGAUGAAAAUAAUAUUUUUGUGAAAUGUGAAGGAUGAAACCGAUCAUUUUUCCUAACUUUUAAAUUAGUUGUUCAUACCAAAAAGCACCACAUGUAUCCUAAAUAAUGUAUGCAUUCCAAAUGUGUCAAUUUUACAAUUCUUAGUAUAUAAUUAUGUUUUGAUCCACAAUAUUAUUAAAAAGUCUUUCAACACAAUAGAUGCAGUCCCAUUAAAGAAGCAGGUUAAGAACUAGUUUAAAUAAAAGUUAAACCAUACAAGAGUAUUUCAUUUAUUGGGUUGGCCAUUGAGUGUCCCAGGACAUGCGUUAUUGAUUAAAAGAGUGUCAGCUGUUUAUAUUUUGGAAAAAGUGUAACUGUUUUUAAAAAAGUGACUGUGUAUUCAUAUUGUAAAUGUGAUUUAAAUGUUUUAACGGGUUUCACCAUUCAUUAAAAAUCCUUAAUACAGUCAUCCUUGAGAGUGCAGCUCCCUUUAUAAAAAAGUCUUCCACGUGAUUAAGCCCCGCAGAAAAGUCUUCUAAGAAAUUUUGCACAACAAUUGCAGUGAACUUGACUCUCAAAUGUGAAAGCAAAUCAAGGCCAGAAAGAACACGUUACAAGCCUUCCUUGGACCCCCUAAGACGCAGAUUGGAAAGACCUUGACUUAAGACUUUAAAUGGUAGCAUUGGUAACGUAGUUGGUUGAAAUAUCAAUAUCGCUCUUACUUAAGCACUAAAACAAAUAAUGGCCUAACUAUCUUGCAUAAAAUCAUAAAGAAAUUAUGUAAAUAAAUGUAAAAAUCACAUGAGGAUAAAGUGAAUAUUCAUGCAAAUUAUAGACGGUUUAACGGACUUUGGGCCAAAAUUUACCAGUUUAGUUGAAGUUAAAUUUAGUAUCUAUACCAGUUAAACGAAUAACCGUGUAAUUAAAUUUUCAAAAUUGGUGUCUAAAUUUUGUCAAGAAAAGAAUUAUUGACAAAAUAUCAAGAAAAGAAUUGCAUUUCGUGUUGCACAUUUUAAUUAAUUAUACUAACAAACAUUUAACUGUACACUUGUUGCCUGAUCUAUUUAGGUAUGCUAAAUCAUUACAGUUUAAUUAAACUCAUAUGUCUUAAUUAGUGUUCACAUGUACGCAAAUGCCCAUAGAAGGCAAAAGAGAUUAAAAAAAAAGGGUUGCAUACCGGUAUUGAAUUACUGGCAUCAAAAUGUACUUUUAAGACCGAAAUAUUACUAAUUUGCUCCCUUUCUGAGAUGCAAUUAGAUACAAUUUGAUUUUUUUUAGAAAUCUGUCCUUAGAAUUUAUAAUUUACUCUUUAGCACAAAGAGCAAUAAUUAGAUUCGACAACCAUGUGAAGAUGAUGGAGUGUGUUUUUAAAAUUUUUUUUUCAAAAAAAAAAAAAUUGUGAAUAAUUUCUUUCCGAUUGAACCGCUUUUGGCAAAGGUUACCAAAUCUAACUCUGAUUUUUUCUCAAAAGUGGAAUCAACUCAGGACCACAAAUGCUGCUGACUGCACUGCAUUGCGAGUCUUCCAAAUUAAAAUGCCUGUAUCACAUUGCUUUUAACAAUCCGUGUGAAAGAAACAGAUUGGAAAGACACUACUGGCUUGACUCCAUUUUAAGUGCGAGUCUUUCAAUCAGGGCGGGCGGAGGGCGCUUACUUUUCAUCUAUCUUAUCUUAAUUACGGUCUUUCAUAGUACUAUAGCAUCGAUGGAUGUUGUAUGCAGCGGAGUUGUUCUUCUCAUGAUACUGGCUAUUGCACCAGUUGCAAUAGCAGCAAAGGAGUCUGCUGUGAAUUUAUUGGAAGCUGAGGCACUGCUCAAGAGGGGCUGGUGGCGAGGCAGUACUGCUGCAACAAACAUUUCUGCCUACUGCCAGUGGCCUGGUAUCAUUUGCAACGAUGCUGGUAGUGUUACCGAAAUACUACUUCCGGGCUACGGAAUUCAAGAUGACUUGACAAAUUUCAGCUUCUCUUCUUUUCCGAACCUGGUUAGACUAGAUCUCAGCGAGAAUAAACUUCACGGCGCCAUCCCACAUCAAAUAGGUGCACUCUCCAAACUCACCCAUCUCAAUUUGUCUUUCAACAGAUUUGAAGGUGAGCUCCCGUCUUCUCUAGUAAACCUUACGCAACUAGCACAGCUCGAUGUUUCUUGGAAUUCGAUUGACAGCUUAAUUCCUCCGGGUAUCGGAAACUUGACAAACUUGGUUGCUCUAGACUUGAGCCACGAUUUUUUUUUUGGUCCAAUCCCUCCAACUCUUGGCCACUUGUCCAAAUUAGCCUCUCUCGAUCUCAGUGGCAAUGGACUUAAGGAAGACAUCCCACAUCAAAUAGGUACACUUUUCAAACUCACCUAUCUCAAUUUGUCGAAUAAUUUUAUCGAAGGCUUUAUUCCCUCCUCCAUCGCAAACUUGACAAAUUUGGUUACUCUAGACCUGAACAACAAUUCUUUUUUUGGUCCCAUCCCAUCCAUCCUUGGCCAAUUGUCCAAUCUAGAUUUCCUGAACCUCAAUAUUAACCACUUCAGUGGGAUAAUCCCUCCAGCACUUUUUAAUUUGACAAAGCUUUCCCGGCUAUACAUUGGCAGGAAUCCCGCAAUAAGGGGAGUUCUCCUUGAAGAAAUAGGAAAUUUGAAGAUUUUACUUGAAUUAGACUUGAGUUACAAUGGUUUUUCUGGCAACAUCCCUCCAACCCUUGGCCAAUUAUCCAAUCUAGCCUCCAUUAACCUCAACAAUAACCACUUCAGUGGGACAAUUCCUUCAGCUCUUUUUAAUCUGACAAAUCUUUCCCGACUAGACAUUCACUCUAAUCCUGCAAUGGGAGGAUUUCUCUCAGAAGAAAUAGGAAAUUUGAAGAGUUUAGUUAAAUUAAACUUCAGUGGCCUUAAUCUUUCAGGUGCCUUUACUUCAGCUCUUUGUCGCCUAACCAAACUAGUAUCUCUUUCAGGUGCUGAGAAUCAAAUUCAUGGUUCCAUUCCCUCUGAAAUAGGAAAUUUGAAAAAUUUGAAAUAUCUUUUCUUCGAGUCCAACCAGCUGACUGGUCAAAUCCCUCCGACCCUUGGCAGUCUGACUACUCUGAUUUAUUUGGACCUCUCUUCUAACCAAAUAAGUGGUUCCAUACCUCUUCAACUUUCCGUUAUACCUUCUCUAAAAUUUUUAGAUCUUUCCUCAAACCAACUUAGAGGUCCGAUUCCAUUUACAUUAAAUUUGGACACCUGGUCUAGAUUGAAGCAUUUAUAUCUACAAAACAACUCUUUGAGUGAUAUUUUUCCAUGGAAAAUUCUAGAUCUCCCUUUGUUACAGACAGUGGACUUAAGUCGUAACCGCAUUAGCGGAAAGAUACCAACCCAAUCGGAGUGGUACCUUUCGACUUUGGAUCUUUCCCACAAUAUUCUCUCUGGCACUGUCCCCUCGUCUCUUUCUCGACUGGGGGACGUCGACCUGUCCUAUAAUGCUUUGGAAGGUGAACUUCCGUGUGAGCUUGUCAAUAAGUUUGGUCCAGGAAGUUUUGACGGCAAUCCAGACUUGCAUUACACUUCCGCUCUUUGUGGUGCAUCUCCUCCUGUUAUGAAAAAUCACAGACAUCACCCCCCAUACUACAUCAUAGGUCAUGGCGUGUCCUUGUUGGUGUUCUCAUUAAUUGGCGGAUUAGUGCUUUAUAUCUUCUGCAAAACCAAAGUCAAGAAAGUGGAAGUUGAGCUGAUGGACAAUAAACAUGGAGACAUUUUCAGAAUAUGGAACUACGAUGGACAUAUGGCUUAUGAAGACAUAAUUAAAGCAACAAACGAUUUUGAUGUCAGUUAUUGCAUCGGGACAGGGGGGUAUGGUUCUGUAUACAGAGCGCGGUUGCCAAGUGGGAAAGUAGUGGCUUUGAAAAAGCUUCACCGUUUGGAAGGCGAGAAUCCAAAUUUUGACAAGAGCUUUAGGAACGAAGCCGACAUGCUAUCUAAAAUCAGGCACAGGAACAUUGUAACGCUCUUCGGAUUCUGCCUGCACAAGCGAUGCAUGUUUCUGAUUUAUGAGUAUAUGGACAGAGGAAGCUUGUUUUUUAUCUUGAGAGAUGAAACCGAAGCUGUGGAGCUGGAUUGGAUUAAAAGAGUGAAUUUGAUCAAGGGCAUUGCCAGUGCAUUGUCCUACUUGCAUUACGAUUGUGAUCCGCCAAUCAUUCACAGGGAUGUAUCAAGCAACAACAUUCUUUUGAAUUCACAGCUCGAAGCAACUCUUUCUGACUUCGGAACCGCGAGGAUUUUGGAACUUGAUUCAUCAAAUCAAACAGUCAUUGCAGGCACCUUUGGCUACAUGGCACCAGGUAGGUUGCCUUGCUAUCCCAGAUCCCUUUCUGCUUUUCACCUUGUUUUUCAUAUUUUCUUGAUGCACAUAUUAGGCUUAACUUUCAAGGACAGAAAAGAAAAAAAUUCUUCCAACUGAAACGAUUAAUUUUUUUUUUUGGAAUAGUAAGUCUGGAGUUGUCCCAUUUGAGAUUAACUUUAUUUGUAUCCAAAUAUAGACUUACUUGUCAAUGCAGAGCUAGCCUAUACCAUGGUGGUCACUGAAAAGUCCGAUGUGUAUGGCUUUGGAGUUGUGGUGCUGGAAACGCUGUUUGGAGAGCAUCCACAAGAAUUCCUUUCUUGCAUAUCAUCACAACCCAAUGAACCAAUAAUGCUGAAGGAUCUUCUUGAUUCCCGUCUGCCCCCUCCGACUAACCCUUUGGUGGUUCGAAAUGUGGCUCUCGCGACAGCGUUAGCCCUGGAUUGCGUCAACGCAAACCCGAAAUGUCGACCAACAAUGCAGCAAGUGGUGAACCGAUUUGAAGCGGGCAGGCGAGAACCAACUAGGCCUUUGCACACCAUUGCUGUGAACCAGCCUGUUAGUCCACCAGUACUUUCACUGCCUGACCAAACCCGCGCAGAUGGGACGAGUAGCCUAAGCACCAUAAAUGAAUUCCAUGUGGAUAUCUCUGCGACUCUGCCAUCAUCCAAUUUUUCUAUCCAUGUUUCUACCUAAACAACUUUGACAUUUGGUAGGAAACAGAAUAAGAUCGUGCUUUGCAAAAUGGAAACUUGACCAAGCACUUAGAUUGCUGC
rnacentral:lncRNA from 1 species